rnacentral:lncRNA from 1 species
CGCCGGAGAAUGGGCCAAGGUACUUAACACGGUCGGGGCCGUACCAUGGACUUCCUGAUGGUGCGACUUUCUUGACUGCUGUCUUCCUCAUGGAAACCCUUCCAUUUCCGGUGAUUUCUGAACCAGAUGGUGUUAUUUUCACUGCUUGUCCGAUGAAUGAAGAAGAUACAGACAUAGUGGAAGCUGCCAUUCUGUUAAAUUUGGUUGAAAGAUGUUGUGGAGAUAGGAGAGUUUGAGUUAUGAAGAUGGGGAGAUCUGCAAGUUUAUUUAUAAGGUGGUUUUUUGGUCAGAUAGAUAUGAUCGAUGCUUAUCUAGAUACAAUCUUCACCUUCAUUUUGAUUGGCAAACAACAUUCUAGUUUUAUCUAAGGGUCAGUAAUCUGCGUGCUGUGAGUUCUCUGGUCCACCAGAGAUUUUUGAAGGGGCUGCGGUAUAUUCAUGGCUCUGGUUUAUUGAGGGAAUGUAAUGGCUCCCAUUCUCAGCCACAAGCUGUUCUUGGUGGGGUUUUUCAUCUUUAACCAUUUUACAUUUUCACAAAGUUACAUAAAUAGUCAUCAUGCUUUACAAAGUCACCGGUUCAGCAACAAACUUUUUUUCCAUGAUUAAAAAUUCAAAACGGUCCGUAUGGUUUUAAUAUUAUUAGUAAUCAUCUUAACAUUUCUAAUUUUUAAAGACAAAUAUUCAUAUAAAUGGUUAUGUGAUUUUCCAGAAUAUCAAGUGGAGCACAUCAUUUUUUCGGUCUUAUGGAAUGACUAUUUGGUUUCAAUUCCUAUCAUAAUUGAUCUUAGAGCAUCCACAAUAGGGGAGUUUAAUGGAAGAGUUGAAUGAGGUGUCAUGCCUACUUGUCAUUCAAUGGAUACAACUCCACCAUUGUGAAAUGCCACCUUGGCAUUCAAUGAAUUUGGAGUUCAAUGGUCAUUGAACUCUUCAAUGGGAAAAAGGAAAAUCUUUAAAUCUUUAAAUAAAUAUUUUUUAAUAUAUUCCAUUGAACUUGUAGAGUUUAAUGCAUUGUGGGAUAAAAAUGAAAAGAGUUGUAUGGAAUAAUGAAUGAUGACGUGACACUCCAUUGAACUCUAUAGAGUUCAAUGCAUUGUAGAUGCCCUUAGUCCCACAUAAAUAAACUUUUAUACCCUUCUAUAUUAUAAUUAGUUUAUUUAAUAUAUAAAUAGCUAUGUUUUAUAGUUAACAAUAAAUUUUGUUCAUNNNNNNNNNNNNNNNNNNNNNNNNNNNNNNNNNNNNNNNNNNNNNNNNNNNNNNNNNNNNNNNNNNNNNNCUCUCUCUCUCUCUCUCUCUCUCUCCCAUCACACCCUCCUAAUCUUUAUUUCUUUCACUCGAUCGGUCAACCUCUUUUCUUUCUACAUAAAAAUUAAUCCAAAAUGCAGCCUUUUCCCAUACUCUGUGCUUGCACCGCCACUUUACCUUCUUGAAACCAAAUUACUAACCAUACACAAGUCUACAAAUCUACUAAUGUGUCUUCCAUUUCUCAAAAUCGAAAAAUAGAGAAGGUGUAGAACAUUGAGCUCACUUCUGUGCAUCUCCCACCUCUUUUACACAAAUAUGAAAUUAAAAUUGAAGAACAACUUUGUGAAGAACCUAGAUUGUGGAGAUGAUGAUGAAUAAAGUCGAUAGUUGGUGGUGCUCGGUGAUGUUUGAUGUUAGCGGCAGUACACUAGUGUUGUGGUGAUCGCCUGUUCAGUUGGUUAUAUUCUGGUAGGGUGGACGAUGGUGACCGUAGAACAGUUCAUAUAUAUAUNNNNNNNNNNNNNNNNNNNNNNNNNNNNNNNNNNNNNNNNNNNNNNNNNNNNNNNNNNNNNNNNNNNNNNNNNNNNNNNNNNNNNNNNNNNNNNNNNUAUAUAUAUAUAUAUAUAUAUAUGUGUGUGUGUGUGUGUGUGUGUGUGUGUGUGUGUGUGCGCGCGCACACUACAAGAAAUUUAGGUGUUUAUCCACACACGUUAUAUGUGGCUAAAAGACCUUUAUGUGUAGUUAUCUUUAGCUACACACAGAUUAAGUGUCAUAAUGUAUUGACUCAUGCCUAUAGAUAUAUAUCAUUAACUAUACAUUCAUUAUGUGGAAGUAUAGUGCAAUUAGUACACACAUACAUGUGUGGUUAAAACUAGUAAGUAUGUGCAUAUAGAAAGGGAGCUGAUCCGUUCACAACAAUUUUUCUCCAUACACAAUAAUUGAUGCUUUAAAAUGUUGUAUUAUACAACUAUAUAAUGCAUGAAUUGUUGUGUAUGGCAAAAAACUGUUGUGUACGAAUCACUUCCCAUAUAGAAGUACUAAAAAUUGUUUGAGUUGUCAACGAUGUGGCUGAUGACAUGUCAAAUUAUGUGGCAAGCCCACACAAAGUGUUGGUGAUAUGUGUUAUUCGAUAUGUGUGGGUAAUAAUUGUUAUAUGUGUAGGUUAAGAUAAGAUAUAUGAAAUAUAUAAAACACAAUAAAUGAAAUAUAAAAUUUAACAACACAAAUUGUUAUUACUUUUAAUAAGGAGUUAACGAUAUAUAAAACUUCUUUUGGAAUGGAAGUAUGUAGCACCCAAAGUCAGAAAGGCCAAGAAAGGAAAGGAAACCCUAAGUUUAAGGGACGACUCAGCAAGUCCAAGGAGGUACUCGGCGAGUCCGAGCGGGAUCCGGGUCGAGGAGUAAAUGACCGACUCGGCGAGUCGGCCAAGGAGACUCGGUGAGUCUGGUCUGUACGAGGAAAUCCCUAAAUUCGGGACUUGGAGCCUAUUUAAGCGCCUCAUUCUCUUCUCUAGGGUUCCUCUACUGCCUCUCUAACCNCUCAACCCCACCCCCGCCCCGCCAUAUCCAUUGUUGAGCCAAUUAUUGCUUUGAAGAGUGCAUUAAAGCUUGGAGAAGGAAGAAGGACCUUGGAGGUGCAAGAAGGAGCUAUAGAUCUGGGCUUGGGAAGAUAUUUCUGAACAUUUGGAGGUAAUAAACUAGUUCUUGGACUCCUUUGCACCUAGAUCUAUGUGUGAGUUUUGGGGCUUUUGGCCAUGAUUGGUACCCAUUUAAGUUAGAAGCCAGAUCUAAAGUUGCUACUUCGGAUAUAAGCAUAUUAUGGGCUUGUGAAGCAUAAAGUAUCAGCCCUUGAGUUGAUUAUGGAGCCUCUUUGCAUUAAACCCUAUUUUAUGGUGUGUCUAGCCUAGAUCUCCUUCUCUACACGUAAAGUUUGCAACUUUACGUGAGGAAUAGGCUUGGGAAGGGUAGAUCUACAGUUUGGGGUCCAUGCAUGACUCAAAAGUCCUCUACAUGUAUGUAGAUCUGAAUGGACUCGGCGAGUCCUUUGAGUGGACUCGGGGAGUAGCAUGAAGAUUAGGAGGAACUCAACGAGUGGGAUGAACAGCUCAUCGAGUCGGAUGAAGUUGGGCAGGAACUCGGCGAGUUGGAAGAACAACUCGGAGAGUCGGUUGAAGAUUGCCUUGGACUAGGUGAGUCUGUUCUUGGACUCGGCGAGUCAGGUCGCGAAACCCUAAACCCUUCGACUUGAGACUCGAAUCAGUGAGUCGAGUGGAGACUCGGUAAGUUGGACAGGUCAGGACUCGGAAAUCGGUAGACUCGGCGAGUCAUGGACUGACUCGGUGAGUCGAGUCGCGAUUGGAAGGACUUAGAGCAUAUGAACUCGGCGAGUCAAUAGGUAGACUCGGCGAGUAGGGUUGACCUGGAAGAUUGACUUUGAACAGGACUUUGACUUUGACCAGAGUUGACUUAGUUGACUGUUGGGGGUCAGUUAGUCUAAGUGUUUCAUUGAUAUUGGUAGCUCGGGGAGCUAGUGGAGCAGGAGUUCAGAGAGUUUCCGGGCAGCAUCCAGAAGGUUAUCAGCAUGUUCAGCAAGUGCAUGUGAGUUUCCCUUUGUGCCAAUGGGUCUACGGUCACAAUGUCGGCCCAUGUAGUUAUGAGUAGAAGACCCGGGGGUUAGCCCUAGGCACAGUAUGCUAGUAUGAUAUUCAGGACGAGGUCCAAUGAUAGCGGGCGGGUGCCCAAGGAAUGGUUUAUGUGAUAGUUUAUACUUGUUGUAUGUGUGAUACUUGUAUGUGUCUGGUAGGGAGGUGAGUGUGGGCGAGGUCCCGUAUCUCACCAAUAGCAGAGUGUGGAUGGUGUUCCACAUCUCAGUAGCAGCAGAGCAGGGGCGAGGCCCAAGUUAGGGAAGGAGUGAGGGUGGGCUGGGCCCGUACCUCACUAUCAGCAGGAGUAUGGACGGGGUUCCAUGACUCAUCAGUAGCAGGACAAGGGCGGGGCCCAGAGAUAGGCGAGGCCUUAGGACAAGAUCCGUUAGUAUGUGUUUAGCUUAUGUGAUGUGAUGUGAUAUGUUUAUGUGCUAUUAUAUGUUAGUGGGCGAGGCCCUGUGACAGGCGAGGCCUAAGUGAAACAGAUCUGUAUCCGAGCGGGGCUCGAAGCCAGGCGGGGCCUGGAGCGGCGGGGCCGUUGUAGCGGGCGAGGCCCGAGGUAGGGGGGGAGGCCCAGGAUAGCGGGCGUGGCCCAGCGUGUGCAGUAUGUGGUUAUGCAUGGUAUGUGGUAGGGUGGGGAACUCACUAAGCUUCGUGCUUACGGUUUUCAGUUUUGGUUUCAGGUACUUCCGGUAGCGGAGGGAAGAGCUCGGGGGUGAUCGCAUGGCACACACCAUAGAUUAGACAGUCUGGGAAUGUUUUACUCUGACAAUGAACAUGUGUUUUGGAAAAUUAAUACUCUGAUUAUGUUUUGAAUUGGUGACCUUGCUUAAAGAAAUCUUUUAUUAAAAGAAAUUUUUAGUCAUGAAUUUUGGGACGUUACAAGUUGGUAUCAGAGCCUUGGUUUGAGGGAUUCGGGCAUACUCUCGGGUGUGCCUGAACUCAAACUAAGGGGUCGGAUAAAAAGUUUUCAAAAUGAAAAGACAGUUUUCUAAAAAGAGAGUUUUGGGAAAGAAAACAGUUUUAGAAAAGCAAAAAGAAUUCAGAAAGAAAAGAACUUUGAAAAGAAAAAAAUGGUGUGGUGCAUGCAAUCAGCUGGUCUUAAGUAAGUACCCCAAAUUACCCAUACAAGUUUAUGUUAUGAUUAUCAGUUAGUAGAACAGCAUGCUAGAUUAGGACUAAGGAUCUAGGGAGGAUGCCUUAUGUGCCUAUUAUAUGUGCUUUGAGUUGCAUGAUAGUGUUGAUUAGACAGUGGUAGGAUAGCCUGUUUAGGUUAUGCCUGAGUAUAUGAGUUUGUGUUGCAUGCUAGUUCAGAUUCUUGCUAUGUGGAUAUGAUUGCUUAUGUAUGUUAUGGUUAGAUUUUCCCCUUGUCUGAAUGCUGCCUGCUUUGUGCAAUAUGGGAUUCCGAGUGAUGGGAGUAACCAUUAGGUGGAUACGUCACGUCACAUGUGAUCAGGGUUGAAUAAUCUCAGAGUGCUAAAUUUGGCCCUAUUUCGCAGCUCUCGUUUGAGUCCAACCAUUGUAGGGAUGAGUCUUUUACUCGAAGAAUUAUCUGAGCCUUGUCACAUGUGAUGGUGUCCAGUUGAUGGCCAAUUGGCAUCACAAGGAGUCCUUCAGCAGCUGAGGCCUGGUUUGGUGUGAGUCAGAGGUUUCCUUAGGGUAAGCCUAGGAUGAGAUAGUGUUGGGAGCAGUAGUAGUGGAUAAGGGACCUGGUGGAGUCGAAGCAAUUCCNGAGGAAAGUACAGAUAGAUAUGGAUGGUAGUAUGGGCCCGUACUACUGAAAGCAGAGGAUCCGUACUCGAUUCGGGAAAGGCUGAGACAAGACCGAGAACCUAGUAGGGUGAGUGUGUGUCUGGUCUCACAGCAGUGAUAAGUAUUCUGAUAGAGGAUGUAUUAUAUAUUCAGCAUGGUGACAUUGCGAGAGAGACCAGUGGGUGGACCAGGCGCCGGAGAGGGAUCGCUCGGGGUCNAGCAGCUCGAGGAGCGGAUGAGGGAGUUGAUAUCAGCUGAGGUUACGCGCAGUAUUCUAGAUCAGACUCCUGUGAUCUUUGGCACGGUCAAGGAGGGUAUAUUGGAGAUUUUGGAUGAGAGGCUGGGAGCCUUCCGUACCGAGAUGAUGGCAUUGAUGGGAGCACGUACCUUGACAUUUCGAGAGUUCAGGGCUUGCGGGGCACCAGAUUAUCAUGGGGCUAGGGACCCCAUCGCUAGCAGCAGAUGGUUGGUUGAUGUUGCCAAUGCAUUCCGUACGAGCCGGUGUCCUGAGGGGGACAAGGUUAGGCUCGCUUCUUGUCUUCUGAAGAACAGAGCAAGGGAUUGGUGGGAGGAGAUUAGUCAUGCCUUGGGGGAUGAUGUCGCGUUGGAUGCGAUGACUUUGAGCGAUUUCUCGUCCAGGUUCAGGGCGGAGUUUUCGCCGAUUAUUGAGGUGCAGCAGUUGCCACAGGAGUUUCAGGAUUUGACGCAGACCACUGAGACUGUGGCGGAGAUCACCGCCAAGGUCAGGGAGAGGGCUCUUCUUGUACCGCAGUGUGUCGCGGAUGAGGAGAUGAAGAAGGCCCGAUACCAUGAGAUGUUGAGGGAUGAUAUCAGGGUGUUCGUGAUCAGGUCCAGCUGUAAGACGCUAGAAGAUAUGAUUUCUCGAGCUAGAGAGAGGGAAAUUGAUUUGGAGCAGAUCCGGAAGAGGAAGCCGGAUGAGGUUUAGGUAGCCACAGGUUCGGGCAAAAGGCCUAAGGGAUCAGAUUCGAGAUCGAGGGAUUAUCAGGACCGCAGUCGGUGCGGGAAGUGUGGCAGGGCGCACAGGGGUGCGUGUAGGAGUGGUAGCGGUGGUGAUUCUGGCUGCUUCAAGUGCGGUCGGACUGGUCAUUUCAGUAGAGAUUAUACUGUUACCACCACACAGGGAUCAGACUUGAUAUGUUUUCACUGCAAUCAGCGGGGCCACAAGAAGGCCCAGUGCCCCAGUUUGUUUUCAAUAGGACGGGUGAUGACACUUGCCCCUGCAACUUUGAGGAUCACAGACGGCCGUCAGGGCCGUGCAGAGGCGCCUGCGGUAGGAGGCAGGUCUUUUCAGAUGACUACCUUGGAGGCGCGAGCAGCACCGGACGUUGUAGGUAUGCGAUUUUGUUUUCAGUUCUUUUAUUUGUGCAUGAUUAUAUUGUUAUGGUUCUGGAUCAUCAUUGGUUUGAGUAUUUUAUUUUUUGAGCGGUUGAUUGUGAUCGAGUUAUAUGCCAUCUUAAUACCUUGGAUAUUUGAAUGGUAGUUAGGAGAUGUGCUCUAUUAGAGAAGGUUUCAUAGGAUGCAGUAAUUGUAGCAUGCCUGGGAGGGACUUGGUAUGUCUCGCUAGAUCGGAGUUGUAUAAUGUUAGAGAUGGAUUGGUUAGAUCCCUAGCUAUGGUGAGCUUGGGUUCCUCAGCAGCUUGAUUAUGGAAUGGUAGCAAGGAUUGGGAUUCUUUUGAGUAUUGAGCAGCAAGGGGUAAGCAGGAUCGAAGUGGGGGAGAAUCCUCCGAGUGUGCAAAGGUAGGAUCACGCAGACCCAAAAUGAGUGCGCGACCUCCGAGAAGGAAAAGAAGUAGUUCAGCGUUUGAUGGAUUGAGGAUUUCAGGGUUGGGAUUUUGAGAAACUCCCCAUCAGCUAGUGCGUGUGAUGGUGAUGGUUAGUAUGUGGUUGGGAAUUCAGGUUGUGGAUCGCCCGUAGGACUCGAGGGAGUCGGAAUGAGGAUCUUGAGAGCUAAUGGCACAUGGGUGCCUUCGUAUUAGCAGUCAGUGGUAGAAAGUGAUGUAAGACUACGGGGCAGCCGUAGCAUUCACUAACAGUUAGUGGUAGAAAGUGAUGUAAGACUACGGGGCAACUAUAACACUCACUAGUAGUCAGUGGUGGAAGUGUUGUAAGACUACGGGGCAACCAUAGCAUUCACUAGCAGUCAGUGAUGGAUGGUGAUGUAAGACUACUAGUAAGCCGUAGCAUUCCUUAGUAGCUUCGUUAGCGGAGUUGGGGCGAGGCCCUUAUCUCCUAGCGAUCAGAUAGGGAUCAGGAAUGGGUAGUGGAUGAAAGUGAUAGGAAGUUUGCUUGUAUAGCCCUAGAGAGGUGAGACCUUGGGAGAGGCCGCUCCAGGAUAUAGUUGGGUGAGGCCUGUGGGCGAGGCCCGUAUGAGAGUAGCGGUAUAGGUGAGACCUGAGAGUAGGGUUGCUCAGUAGUAUGGCCGGGUGAGACCCGUAGGCGAGGCCCGAGAGAGAGUGGUUAGACAAGUAGGACUAGAAGGAUAGAGGCGGGGGGGACCCGUGGGCGAGGCCCGUGUGUUUUAGCGGCAUAGGGGGGACCUGGUAAGGACCUUAGUGUCAAGAUAAGGGAUCGGGGAUCCAUGGAUUGUAGUGACUGAAUGGCAGAAUAGAUUGCGCAGUUAUAGGUGGUCAAAGUUCCUUCGAAAGUCGCUGGGAGCGACUAGGAGUAGUGUUGGGACUAGCGACCGGUGGGAUCCGGUAAUCCAGAUAUUGGUAGGACGGUAGGGAUUAGGGUGGUCUCAGUUCAUCCGGAAGGCAGAUAAGGAAUAGCAGAAUUUUCAGUCAGUAGUAGUGCGGGUAAGCAGUGUAUGGUGGAAUUCAGUUAGUUGUAUCGAGGGGUGCUCGACACCAAGUUUUGACAGAGAGGAGUGUCAGUGGUUACUGGCGGUGAUGACCUGUACUGGAAGUAGCGGGGGUGAUGGAGUUGGCGAAGGAUAUGACCUUCACAGUGACAGAGGAAAUAGUUGGUUAUGGAGCAUUGCCUUGGGAAGGCAAGGAAUUCGCACAAGGAAAGAAGGGGUGAACCCCUAUAGGUUCAGUACAGUACUCGGUGAGUACCGGAAGGAUUGUCGGUUGAGUAAGUUGUGUUUCCAGGAUGUUCAGGGUCAGGGUGACCUGAGUCUAUUAUCCGCAAGGAAUGAUGUUAGUCAGAAUGACCGGGCGGAAGACCAGCGAAGGUAGGCAGCUGGUGUUGGAAUGAUUAGUUGGGUAUUGAAAGCAUAUCGCAGGCAGUGGCCCAUAGCAAACUUCGAGGAUGAAGUUUAGUUUAAGUGGGGGAGAGUUGUAACACCCAAAGUCAGAAAGGCCAAGAAAGGAAAGGAAACCCUAAGUCUAAGGGAUGACUCAGUAAGUCCAAGGAGGAACUCGGCGAGUCCGAGCGGGAUCCGGGUCGAGGAAUAAGUGAACGACUCGGCGAGUCGGCCAAGGAGACUCGGUGAGUCUGGUCUGUACGAGGAAAUCCCUAAAUUUGGGACUUGGAGCCUAUUUAAGCGCCUCAUUCUCUUCCCUAGGGUUCCUCUACUGCCUCUCUAACCCAGAACACCAAACCCUAGCCGCCAUAUCCGUUGUUGAGCCAAUUAUUGCUUUGAAGAGUGCAUUAAAGCUUGGAGAAGGAAGAAGGGCCUUGGAGGUGCAAGAAGGAGCUAUAGAUCUGGGCUUGGGAAGAUAUUUCUGAACAUUUAAAGGUAAUAAACUAGUUCUUGGAAUCCUUUGCACCAAGAUCUAUGUUGAGUUUUGGGGCUUUUGGCCAUGAUUGGUAUCCAUUUGAGUUAGAAGCCAGAUCUAAAGUUGGAACUUCGGAUCUAAGCAUAUUUUGGCCUUGUGAAGCAUAAAGUAUCAGCCCUUGAGUUGAUUAUGGAGCCUCUUUGCAUUAAACCCUAUUUUAUGGUGUGUUUAGCCUAGAUCUCCUUCUCUACACGUAAAGUUUGCAACUUUACGUGAGGAAUAGGCUUGGGAAGGGUAGAUCUACAGUUUGGGGUCCAUGCAUGACUCAAAAGUCCUCUACAUGUAUGUAGAUCUGAAUGGACUCGACGAUUCCUUUGAGUGGACUCGGCGAGUAGCAUGAAGAUUAGGAGGAAUUUGACGAGUGGGAUAAACAGCUCGUCGAGUCAGAUGAAGUUGGGCAGGAACUCGGCGAGUUGGAAGAACAACUCGGCGAGUCAGUUGAAGAUUGCCUUGGACUUGGCGAGUCUGUUCUUGGACUCGGCGAUUCAGGUCACGAAACCCCAAACCCUUCGAGUUGAGACUCGAAUCAGUGAGUCGAGUGGAGACUCGGUGAGUUGGACAGGUCAGGACUCGGAAAUCGGUAGACUCGGCGAGUCGAGUCGCGAUUGGAAGGACUUUGAGCAUAUGAACUCGGCGAGUCAAUAGGUAGACUCGGCGAGUAGGGUUGACCUAGAAGAUUGACUUUGACCAGGACUUUGACUUUGACCAGAGUUGACUUAGUUGACUGUUGGGGGUCAGUUAGUCUAAGUGUUUCAUUGAUAUUGGUAGCUCGGGGAGCUAGUGGAGCAGGAGUUCAGAGAGUUUCUGGGCAGCAUCCAGAAGGUUAUCAGCAUGUUCAGCAAGUGCAUGUGAGUUUCCCUUUGUGCCAAUGGGUCUACGGUCACAAUGUCGGCCCAUGUAGUUAUGAGUAGNGGAAGGUUGACUUUGACCAGGACUUUGACUUUGACCAGAGUUGACUUAGUUGACUGUUGGGGGUCAGUUAGUCUAAGUGUUUCAUUGAUAUUGGUAGCUCGGGGAGCUAGUGGAGCAGGAGUUCAGAGAGUUUCUGGGCAGCAUCCAGAAGGUUAUCAGCAUGUUCAGCAAGUGCAUGUGAGUUUCCCUUUGUGCCAAUGGGUCUACGGUCACAAUGUCGGCCCAUGUAGUUAUGAGUAGAAGACCCGGGGGUUAGCCCUAGGCACAGUAUGCUAGUAUGAUAUUCGGGACGAGGUCCAAUGAUAGAGGGCGGGUGCCCAAGGAAUGGUUUAUGUGAUAGUUUAUACUUGUUGUCUGUGUGAUACUUGUAUGUGCCUGGUAGGGAGGUGAGUGUGGGCGAGGUCCCGUAUCUCACCAAUAGCAGAGUGUGGAUGGUGUUCCACAUCUCAGUAGCAGCAGAUCAGGGGCGAGGCCCAAGUUAGGGAAGGAGUGAGGGUGGGCUGGGCCCGUACCUCACUAUCAGCAGGAGUAUGGACGGGGUUCCAUGACUCAUCAGUAGCAGGACAAGGGCGGGGCCCAGAGAUAGGCGAGGCCUUAGGACAAGAUCCGUUAGUAUGUGUUUAGCUUAGGUUAUGUGAUGUGAUAUGUUUAUGUGCUAUUAUAUGUUAGUGGGCGAGGCCCUGUGACAGGCGAGGCCUAAGUGAAACAGAUCUGUAUCCGAGCGGGGCUCGAAGCCAGGCGGGGCCUGGAACGGUGAGGCCGUUAUAGCGGGCGAGGCCCGAGGUAGGGGCGAGGCCCAGGUUAGCGGGCGUGGCCCAGUAUGUGCAGUAUAUGGUUAUGCAUGGUAUGUGGUAGGGUGGGGAACUCACUAAGCUUCGUGCUUACGGUUUUCAGUUUUGGUUUCAGGUACUUCCGGUAGCGGAGGGAAGAGCUCGGGGGUGAUCGCAUGACACACACCAUAGAUUAGACAACCUGGGAAUGUUUUACUCUGAUAAUGAACAUGUGUUUUGGAAAAUUAAUACUCUGAUUAUGUUUUGAAUUGGUGACCUUGCUUAAAGAAAUGUUUUAUUAAAAGAAAUUUUUAGUCAUGAAUUUUGGGACGUUACAAAGUACAUUAAUCCUUGGUACAAAUAUUACAUCAACAAAAGUUAUCUCUAAGCUUUCAUGAAAUUGAAGACCUUAUGCCUAACACAACCAUUGUAUCUAGAUAAGAUUUUCCUACUUAUUUACUUUGUUGUGUGCAAAUAUUAAUACACUUGACUUAAGCAUCACCAACAUUUGGACAUAAUUGUUGACGUUGAGGUGGUUGGUUAGAGCAUUAGUCAACUUUAAUAUUCAAGUGAAGACGUAUCAAAUACAAGUGAUUGUAGUUCACUCCUAUAGCAACAAGAGGAGCAGAGGCUUUAAGUAGUUUAUCCAUUUCAACAUGAAACUCUUUUCACACAUGAACGAUCUUAUGACACCUGUCAAAUGCCUCUUAAAAUAUACAAUCAACACUUGGUCAGUAGCUUUCUUCUCUGUGGCCAGAACCAUGACCUCUUCAUUUCCCUAUAUUAAUGAUGACAGGUUCAUAAACUAAAAGGACUGUAAAGUCAAAAUAGUUGACAUUAUGUUGACAUACCUAGUGGUGUGAAGAGAAGAAUAAAUAGAAUGUUUGUAAUAAACCCGCUUUCUUGGGUGAGGAAACCAUGACACUUGUUCAGAAAUGAAACAUCCCAACUAGCACCUAACGACUUUUGCUACAUUGAGAUAUACUAGCAAACAACAUAAGCAAAUCACAUGGAAAAUUAUUACAAUUAAUAAAACUCAUAAAUAAAGUGGUAAAAACAGCCUUGCACACACUCUUGAUUAAAAAAAUAGUUUAUAUUAGUGUAACAUCCCGAUUUCUCGAUAUCAGUUUAAAGUUCUAGAGUCAUGUUUCAAAGACAACUCGACGAGUUGAUAGGCCAACUCGUUGAGUAGUGACCAAAUCAGCCAUGUGGAUUUUAGACCCUACUCGUCGAGUUGGAGGACCCGACUCGACGAGUAGGUGCUGGAAAGUGAAAACCAUAAUUUUUAGGGUUUGCACCCUAUUUAAAGGUCCUUAACUUUCCUCCUCAGCCUCCCUUGUCACCUUCACGUCCAAAAAAACCAACUAGUCUCUAUUCUUGAGUGUGUGAGACCAAAAGAGAGUGUAUUGGAGCAUUCUUAAGGAGUUAAGAGCUUUGAACAAGGGAUAGCUUGUAGAUCCAACUUUUCCAGUGUUGUGACAACAAUAUUGAGUUAUAAAGCUACCACCUUUAUAUUUCAUUGCUUAGAUCUUCCUUUUUGGUAAAGUAAUUGUCAUGUCUAGGGCAUGAUGGGGUCACACUCGGAUUUAAGCUUGCCACAAGGGCAUAGUUUUAGAACUUGACUUCUUAAGGCCUUAUGAACAUAAAUCCUUAAGCUUUAUGAAGCCCUAGCCCUCCUUCAUGUCCAAAACCUUCUCCUAAUGCUAAUUAUGAGUGUUUUAGCUUCAUAGAACCAUGCAUGCAUGUAAAGUUAGCAACUUUAUGUGAUAACAACACCCUAGGAGCAUAGAUCUACUGUUUGGAGCUUUGGAGCAGCUUAAAAUAGUCUGAAUGAGUGAUGGACUGAAGGAGACUCGACGAGUUUCAUGGUUGAAUCGAAGAGUCGGUUGAAGAUUGCCCAUAAUGGUUUUGCAUGGACUCGGCAAGUCAGUAAGAAGACUCGACGAGUCAGUUAGGGUUCUUCCUGACAUUUAGACACGCGUAGACUCGCCGAGUUGGUGGGGAAACUCUGCGAGUUGGCCCAGGGAUUUCACGGUUUUCUGAGUUUUGGAGGAACUCGAUAGGUCAGUAGUUGGACUCGACGAGUUGGGUCAACAUGGACUGUUGACCUUGACUGUUGACUUGGAGUUUGACCAGGGUUAACCAUGUUUGACUUUGGAGGGUAUUUGGUAAAUGGGUAUUUAAGGAAAUGGAUCAUGGGUGGAUAUAGGUAAUGGAGUUUGGGGCAGUAUUUUGAGAGCGUGAUUUCGUGGUUUAGUUCGGCAUUGCAAGGUGAGUUAUCCUCACUAUAUCAACAGGGUCUAAGGCACCAAGGUCAGCCCUUUAUCUGAUUUGUAUUCGGGUAUUUGCUUGAUAUGUUUUUUGAUCUGCUAGAUCUGCAUCCUGGUAGUUAGGAUGGUAUUAUGUUUAGUGACCUGGUUUAGGUCAGUAUCCUGGUAUAUGGGAUGAUGUUAUGUUAGUGACCGGUUAGGUCGGUAUCCUGGUUAUAGGACGGUUGUUGUGUUAGUAAUCAGUUAGUUUGGUAUGAUUAUCUGUUGUAUACAUGCUCGCGUAUAAUAUUUAUGUGCACAUGAUUGUUUGAUUGUUAUGGGGGUUGGGUUGAGGCGGGUCCUGCUUCGUGUUGUAGGCCAACAUACCCAUGGCGGACCGGAAAGACUACAGGCCCAGGAAGGCACAUUGUCCAACCAAUGGCCCAACGAGCGGUCCGGAUAGGCUGAAGGCCCCGAGAGGGUGGUCCAAACGUGCCGAGGCUCGGAGAGUGGGCCAGGUGGACUGAAGGCCCGGUGCGGGCGGUCCAGUCAUACUGUAGACUCAAAGAGUGGACCAGGUGGACUGAAGACCCAGUGCGGGUGGACCAGUCACACAGUAGACUCGGGAUGCAUGGCUGUUCAGUGUUUGUUAUAUGAUAUGAUUAUGGAUUGUAUGAGGUUGGUAUUUUGGGGGUAACUCACUAAGCCUUCGAGCUUACGUUUAUCAAUUUAUGUUUCAGGUACAACGAAUUAACCCAGGAAGACGAAUGUGUGAUCGUACACUUCCCCAUAAUAUGUUUUGGAUUUUCUGGGAUACUCUGAUGUGAAACUAUUUUGGAAACCUUUUUGUAAUAACUAUUGGCAUUUGAAAUGUUUUUAAAAGUUUAAAUUUGGCUUGGAUUUUAUGGGUGUUACAAUUAUUUCAAUUAUCCAAGACGAUUUUAUGUCGAGAUUUUAAGUUAACAUUAAAUCUCAAUUAUUUGUUUGAAUGAUUUUUUUCUUUUAUCUUAGAGAUUUGUUUGAAAUUUAUUAAUUUUUUUUAUAAAUUUGAAUUAAUCAAAGACACAUAUAAAAAUAUCUCAUCAAAUCAAAUAAAUUUAAUAUAUAAAAAAGAUAGUAUCCGAUUAAGUCAAUCUAAAAAUACCAACAUAUAAAUAUAACUCACAAAUCUUGAUGGGAAUAAGAAUCAAACUCAAAAUCAAUCAAAUAAAAAAACCUUUGAUUUGUGUUAUAAGUAUAAAAUAAAUCAGGAUUCCAAAUAAAUAUUACAAUGAAAAAAAACCUAAAAUGUUUGAAACAAAAUAUGAAAUUCGCCAUCACUGUCAAUUUAAAAAAAAAACCUUUAUUAAUACUAAUGGGCUAUUUGGUAGCAUCCUGAUGAAUCAUAUCUGAAUGAUCUAGAUGCCUGGAUGAUCUAGAUGCUCUUUAGGAAUUUCUAUCGGAAUGAUAAAAUAAUGUUUGGUUAGGCAUCUAAAUAUCUGCCUCUUAAUGAGGAAAAUAACCAUUUUAGCCCUCUAAAUUAUUUUUUGAAUACAAAAUAAACAUUAUACAAUAUCCAACAAAUCGGUUAAAACAAAUUGGCUUUUGAUAUUCAGAUUCAUGUGUUUCUUCAUCAACAAUCUCUUUGAAGAGGACUCGUUUUGUUUCUGUUUUUAGAUCAUUAGGCUUUCUUGCUUCUGGAACAUUGAUGGGCCUAUUUUCUUGCUGAAUAUCUUCCAUCACUAGCAACUUCAUCUUGCUCCUAGAUCACAUAUCAACUAAACAAGUUGAAAAAUAACCAAACACAUAUUUUCAUAUAGAACAUUUCAAGCAAACACAAACACAUUUUCAAAAAAAAAAAAACAAAUCAAUUGUUAUUUUCAGAUUUCCAAAGGACAAAAACAACAUCAACUGAACACAUAUAUAGAGCAAGAAGAACAAAGCACAAAAAUCGAUUUCAUACAAAAUCGAGCAGCAAGAACACGAUUGACACCAAUUUCAUGCAAAAUUGCUCAACAAUAACACGAUUGAAGCAACAGAUUCGAGAAAAAAAACCAUACCUGAAAACUUACCGACGACGAGUAGGCGGAGAAGUAGGAGCGUUGUCGAAGGCAUGCAAGGGGAGGCGGCGACGGAGCCAAUAAUUGGAAGUUGUCAACGCUUAAUGAAGAUAAAGAAUGAGGGAUGAAAGGUCGAUCUCUAGAAAGAAGGAGAAGAAAAAAGAGUCGGCCGCAAUUUGUUGUUAGGGCAAUGGUAGAAGAUGAAAAUUUUUUUAUUCAGACUUCUCCUCAUAUCUUAACGAAUCAGAUUAGUUUUAGCUACAUCUGACCGAUUAAGAGCGUAAAAAUGUUUCAACCAAACACUCUGAAUCUUAAUGAUCCAAAUGCAACCUCUUAAUGAGACCAUUAAGAGGCAAAACAAACAGCCCCUAAAUAAAAAAAACAAUAUAGUUUCCAUAAAAAUCGAUUUAAAUAUUAAAGAAGAGAAGAAAUCAGCAUUUAUACGACGUAAUAGUUUUUUAAAAUUAAAAAAAAAAAAUUAUUCAUAUUAUAAGUAUAAAAUACAUUUUAUUCUUAACUCUCAUUUGUAAUUUGCCAUAUGUUUUCAUAAGAGUUUAUGGUAAUAACUUAAAUUUUUAUUUUUCCAUAUACCAUUUUUCAUUUACAAAAUUGUUUGUGCUUAUUUUUUUUUGUUAUAUUAAAAUUUAUUAUAUUUUAUUAUAUAAUAUAUAUCAUAAUUUUUUUCAUUAAUUUACAUAUAUCUUAUUUUUACGUGUUUAUUUGAAACAAUCGUUAUAAUGCAAAAUAAAUACCACUUCUCCAUAUUAAUUAUUAAUUUUUAUUAAAAUACUUUAUUAAUUAUUAUAAUUUUUAUCUAUUGAUAUUCGUUUAAUUUUGUAAGUUUUAUUUUCACAAAGUAUAACCUAAUUAAUUUCUCAUCAUCUAUAGUAAAUGAAAGUUUUUUUUUUCACAUGCAAUCACUAAUUAAUUUUGACACUUGUCAUUUUAUAAUAUUUUUUAAAUAAAUAAUAUCCACAUAUCAAUUUAUGAUUUUUNNNNNNNNNNNNNNNNNNNNNNNNNNNNNNNNNNNNNNNNNNNNNNNNNNNNNNNNNNNNNNNNNNNNNNNNNNNNNNNNNNNNNNNNNNNNNNNNNNNNNNNNNNNNNNNNNNNNNNNNNNNNNNNNNNNNNNNNNNNNNNNNNNNNNNNNNNNNNNNNNNNNNNNNNNNNNNNNNNAUCAAAUGUAAUAAAUAUUAUUUUAAAAUUUCAUUUUAAAAAAUAUUUAUUAUUACAUUUUAAUAUUUUAUAUUCUUUAAUCAACCGUGUAAUACAUUUUAAUACAUAGAUUUUCCAUCUAAUAAAUAAAUAAAAUGUAACCAUUUUAAUCACUAAAUAAUUAAUCAACCAAAGAUUAAAACCCACUGAUAAAAAGGAAACUAAAUCAACACCAAAUUGAAAAUUAAACCAUAUAUUACUAAAUUAAUUCACAGAGAGUUCGACAUCAAUCAAAUAUUAUCUCGCACUCAAAUUCACAAAACUCACUUUCCAGGUACAAAGUUUGUAGCAUAUGACCAUGCAUUGUUUGCAACAGGGUCAGCAAGGUGGUCAGCGAGGUUCUCCAAUGGUCCCUUUCCGGUAACAAUGGCUUGAACAAAGAAUCCAAACAUAGAGAACAUGGCUAGUCUACCGUUCUUGAGCUCCUUCACUUUCAGCUCAGCAAAUGCCUCUGGGUCAUCAGCCAGACCCAAUGGGUCGAAGCUACCACCAGGGUAAAGUGGGUCAACUACCUCACCAAGAGGUCCACCAGCAAUUCUGUAACCUUCAACUGCACCCAUCAAGAUCACUUGGGUAGCCCAGAUGGCUAAAAUGCUUUGUGCAUGGAUCAAACUUGGGUUCCCCAAGUAGUCAAGACCACCCUCACUAAAGAUCUGGGAUCCAGCCUUGAACCAUACAGCCUCACCAAACUUGACACCAUUACGCGCCAAGAGUUCGGGGAAGACGCACCCAAGAGCUCCGAGCAUGGCCCAUCUGCUGUGGAUGACCUCAAGCUCACGGUUCUUGGCGAAUGUUUCAGGAUCAGCAGAGAGCCCAGCAGUGUCCCAACCGUAGUCACCGGGGAACUCACCGGUCAGGUAAGAUGGGGCUUCGCCGGAGAAUGGGCCAAGGUACUUAACACGGUCGGGGCCGUACCAUGGACUUCCUGAUGGUGCGACUUUCUUGACUGCUGUCUUCCUCAUGGAAACCCUUCCAUUUCCGAUUAUUUCUGAACCAGAUGGUGCUGCUUUCACUGCCUGUCCGACGAAAGAAGAAGAUAGAGCCAUGGUGGAAGCUGCCAUUUUUGUGAGAUUUAUUUUGAAGAUGUUGUGAUGGUUAUACUUAUGAAGAUGGGUAGAACUGGAAGUAGAUUUAUAGGGUAGUUUUUGGAUCAGAUAGGUGAUCAAUGCUUAUCUUGAUACAAUCUUUAGCUUCAAUUUGAUUGGCUACAGAGAUUCUUGUGGGUCCGUAAUCUGUGGUGUGAGUUCUCUGGCCCCCCUGAGAUAUUUUGAAGGGGCAGGAUAUUCGUGGCUCUGGUUUAUUGAGCCAAUGACUGGCUUUCACUCACUACUCUUAGUGGUGGUUUUUUAUAAUAUGCUGUAAGCUUGUAACCAUCCAAUCGUCUAAGUUUAUAACUGACCUAUUAUUACAAAUAUAUACUAACCAGGCAAAACUUUUGGUUAUAAAAGUUAAUGUGACCGAGAGACUAACACAAAAAAUUAUAACAGGAGUAGUUAAUAAUCCGCGAUUUACCGCUAUGCCGAGAGCCGUAGGGAGGAUCCACCAUUUACCCCUAAGUGUGCAGAAUGCCUUUUUUUUUUUAGUAUUAAAAUAUCAAGAUCGGACACGCGUUGUAAAAUUCUUGUUCGAAUUGUUUGCAAACUCUUCGUCACAAUAAGGGGAGUUUAAAUAUGCGUUUUAAUAUAAUAACAUUGGCAUUGAUUAAAUGUUAAUAUUCAAUUAUCAUCCCACAUGAGAAUGAAAUAUAUUAAUGAUUUAUUAAUCUAAAAACAUUAUCAUCCCACAUGAGAAUGAAAUAUAUUAAUGAUUUAUUAAUCUAAAAACAAUUUUUUUAUGUCAUUAUUUUUUGGGGUUACAGUCGAGCUUGGAGGAUCUCGACUUUAGGUAUGCCCAUUUUAUUGAGAGGAAUUACUAAUAAAUUUCGGAAAGAGGAAAAAAAUAUGAUCGUGGACAUAUGGUUUAGGAAUAUUUUCAUGUUCGUUUGACACAAGUAAAGUUCUUGAAAUGGGUGCUUCAGUUUGUACGAGCGGCUAACUUGAUAAAGUUCAAAGACAUAAAGGCAAUUUUCAAAAACUCACAUGAUCAGUUAUCGAACAAGCAUGUCGUACUAGUGUGCCCACUACACAUGUUAGUUAGCGGUUUCAAUAGGAAAAGAGCAUCAUUAGCUGUCAAUGAUAAUAUUCUUUCUCUAGUACUCGAUCCUUACGACUUUUAUAUUUAUAUCAUGUAAUUUAGAAUUUAAUUUAAUUUCUAUUAAUCUUCGAUUACAGUUUAUGUGAUCUAAUUCAUGGAUGUUUUGGCACUACAUAUCUCAAUGGAGUAUGCCAGGGAAAUUUUGGUCAUAACAACAGCCUCCAUGGGUUUAUAUAUAUUUUUAAGGUACAUAUAACAUCCUAUUUUUAGGCUUAGAAAUUUUGGUCAUUUAUAGUGAAAAUAAUUUUUUUUAAUAAAAAAAUAAAAAAGGAAAAAUAAAAAUAAAAAGAAUGACUGAAUGAAUACAUGAGCUAAUAAAAGGUUUAGAUCAAAUGUUUAAAGAAAAUAGCGAAUUUAUACUUAAAAUAGGAAAUAAAUAAGGAAGGGUCAGUGGUGGCAACUUUGGAAAACUUGUUUAAUUUAGAUCUAACUAGACAAUUUAUUUGUAAAGAGUUAAAAAUGUAACGAAAUGAUACUUAUAAGCUUAAGAGGGAGUUUUUCAGUUGGAAAUGUUGUUAGAAACCCUUAUUGGAAAAAAUUAGGACAAAAGGACUAAAAUUGUCAAGUUGAUGAAACUUGUGUUAACCUUAAUGUAACGACCCUAAAAUCUUAAAUUAUGUGUUUAAUUACUUUGUAUCAUUUUGUUGAAAAAUGAACAUUAAUGAUGCAAUAAUCAAUUUGUUAGUAAAUUUCAUUGUAUAUCCUUACAUUUAUCAUGUUAUAAUCGAAAAUAUAGGACAUUUCAGCAAAAAAUAACCCUGUAGGAAAGUCGCAUUACACCUCGAUAUAUUCGUGUGGAUAUAAAUUCUAUGAAAAUCCAAAUUUGUAUGACGAAGUUAUAGUCAAUAUAAGUUGGAAGUACAAAUUUUAAUGUUUAAAUGUGUAUGUUNNNNNNNNNNNNNNNNNNNNNNNNNNNNNNNNNNNNNNNNNNNNNNNNNNNNNNNNNNNNNNNUAUAUAUAUAUAUAUAUAACAUCUCAAAACCAUAAUAACCAUAACAUAAAAUCAGAGUUUCAAAACAUAUUAUCUCUCUAAACCAUAACAAUCACUGGAUGAUGUGUAGAGUCACGUGUAACAUCUCGUUUAAAAUUAGAUAAAUAAAAUAAAAUAAGUAAAUAAAUUAGAUAAAAUAAGUAAAUAAAUAAUAAACCCUAAAACCUCAAGAUGAAUUUUAUAUUUUUAUGUUAGCCUUAAAUCCAUAAUAAUUAUCAGAGUAUUAGCGCAAUAAGUUAAAUGUUAUUAAUUCUGGAAAUAGGGGUUUAAAAUGUAAAUUUCGAACUAGUUAAGAAUAGAUUUGUGGAAGCUGGGGAUUGUUUGGUAAUUUGGACUUGAAUUGAAAGGAUUAUUGGAAACAGGUAUAGAGUAAAUUACAGAUUUAAUUUGUAAAGGAAUUGAGAUGGAGGGACUGAAAAUAUAAGAAAGGGACUAAUGUUUGAAGAGAUAGGCAUGACUUAAACCCAUUCCCCCUCCACCCUCUUGCUACUCGGUUGCACCCAUAUAAACCCUAACCCUAAUAUCUUCUCAGCCGCCACCUUAUCCCUCCAUAUCUCCAGUCGCUUCCAUCACCUGUGUCGCCGUCAUGAACCACUGAGCACCACUGCCGCUGCUCCCACUGCCGAUGAAAACGAAGAUCAACGUUUGGACACCGUGACAGUGGGGAAGUAGGAAGAAAGGAAGCUCGUGGUUGUUAUUGCUGUUAUUCUCGGUUAGGGGUCGCAAAACCUUUCUCUUCUCCGUUUCCUUUUGUUGCUACGUUGUCAUCGUCAUCGCUCCAUGUGAGGGUGGUUGUGUUUGUGUUUUGUGAGUGUAGGUGUGUGUUGCUGCUGUGGCAAGUUGGAGAGGUGUGUGUGUCUUUUGUUGGCCAGAAAAACGAAGAGAAUCACCAUGGCAACCAACCAUGGUGGUUUUCACCGUUCUGGAGCCACUAGCCACCACCCUAGGUGGCUGUGUGUGUUGGAUUGACAUUUCUUCUGUACCAGGAUGCUUUUGAUAGUGUUUGGCCUAAAAUUAUAACUACCACCAUUAAAAAGUGGUGGCUGUCGCCUCCUACCGCCAUGGACCGCCGCCGACCACCAAUGCCCGAGGUGGCAGUGGGUGGUGUCUGACUUACUAAACAUUAAAUAACCUAAACAUCUAACCUUAGACCGAGUGGUACGUGUUUGGGUUGGAAACUCUUACUAGGCUUUAGAAAAUCCUAAGGUCAAGAAAACCCUAGUUUUGGAGUUUUGUCGGGACCCGCGUUGAAGUGUUAAUUGAACUUUAAUUAUACUCGAUAAGGCCCUACGAUUAACUUAAUGCAGUAUUGAACUUAAUGAAUUAAGUCCUUAAGGGGUUAUGUGUGGAGCACUAACCCUAGUUAUCAUUUUAUGUGGAAACCCUAAAAAUCAAGAAGCCUUAUUUUCGGCAAUGAUCAGGGCACAUAUUUGGGAUAUUCCUUGGAUUAUUAUUAUACCCGAGAAUGAAUAUGUCAAACCUUAAUCACUCCUACUUUUAUUUGAUUAAGUCCUUAAUGGGUUAAGUGUCCUUACUUAACCCUAAUCGUCAUUUUAUGUGGAACCCUAAUCACUAUUUCAUGUGAGGUAGUCACUGCUGCAAUUGACGAUGACUUGUGAUCGAGUAUUGAAUCAAGUAUCUUCCUGUAGGUGAUUGGAAGUGAGUUGAAGCUGGUAGAGUUCUUCGUUACUACGGUGGUUACCUACUAGCAUAUCGAGCUGAGUUUCACCUCACUGUGUUAGAUCUAUAUGCACAAGAAUCAUUAUUCAGUGACAUUGCUAAUAACAUAUGAUCCUAUAAGGUCACACUUUAAUCAAGUUGGUACUUAUUGAAUAUUUAUUAAGUAUUUUAUAAUUAAUAAUAAAAGUUCAACUCAUGUAUUUAAUUAAAGAAAAUUUAUUGUUUUGUGAAAAUAAUAAUAAAUGAAAGACUAACUANAUAUAUAUAUAUAUAUAUAUAUAUAUAUAUAUAUAUAUAUAUAAGUCAUGUACAAAGUUUUGGACACUUUCACCAAAGAUUGACAAACUAGCUAGUUAAUUAAGUGACUAAACAAUAAACUAGAAAAUCCAAUGGACCAUUUUAGUCCUUAAAACCAUGGGUUAUCAAGGCGAGGAGGUUGAAAGUCAACCUCCAACAUUCUUGUCCCCCAUGUUUGUUCAUUACCUUGCAUGUAAUACACACCAUGAUCAUAUUAUAUAAGGCUAGUUGUUUUAUCACUAUAUGACUAGAAGAAAAAAAUCAUUUACACUUUCAUCCAUAGAAUUGUAGGUUCUCUUGGCUUCUCCCUAUCUCUCACUUGAAGUUAGUUCUUGGUUUUUUAGAGUUCGUCUUUUGUGUCUUCCUUUUACACUUAUUAUCUAUGUGCUUAAGGCUUAAAGAGAAAAAUAUUAUACAAGAAGAAAUCUAGCAAUUUUGGUACCUUAUUCUUGUUGGUGGAUUACUUGUAGAGAAGAUCAGACUUGUUGUUCUUGCCAUCUACUUCAACACCCCAAAUCUAAGAGGGUCCAAAGUCUACGAAGGUUGUAUUUUCUAAACUCCCUAUGGUUGUUAUAAUAUCAUUCUAAGCACUUUAAAAGGAUCCUUGAUGGUUUGUUUUGUUUUCAAAUUUAUAAGAAAUUUUUAAAGCUUCCGUUGCCAGUUUUUGUGAAAAACUAUUUAUUUUAUGCAACAAACCCCUUCAGUUGUAACACUAUAAAUUUUCAAACAAAAUUUCCAUUUUUAAAACACACAAAUCUUAAAAUCACAUUUCUCAAAAAUCACAAAUGUAUCAAUUGUAAGAAUAUCCCAGAACCCUCAAACAUAAUCUCGAACAGGUGUGUACAAUCAAGUCGGCGCCUUACCGUGAUUCUGAGAAGUACCUGAAACACAUAACACACAACAUAGUAAAAACGAAGCUUAGUGAGUUCCCCAAAAUACCACAUACACAAAUAAUAAGCCACUCAUAGCUAUAGCUCGGCAUGGACCUUCCAGUCAUGCGUCUCGGUGAGGACCCUCCGGUCUCACGGCUCGGUGUGGACCCUCCGGUCAUGUGUCUCAGUGAAGACCCUCAGGUUUCACAGCUCGAGUUGGACCCUCCAGUCCUGUAUCUUAGUGAAGACCCUCCAGUCUCACAACUCGGUUUGGACCCUCCGGUCCUAACUCAGUAAGGCACAAAAUAAUAUAGCAUAUAUGACAAAGACAAAAUGCAUAAUAUCACAUAACUCAGUAUAAGCACAUAGGACCAUCCGGUCGAUAACUCAAAUAAGACCCUCUGUUCACAUAGUAUUACCACUCAGGUAAGUAUAGUGAUAAGACUCGUCUCGGAAGUAAGCAAAUAGAUCUAGUACCCCACGAACAGUUUAGACUCCGCCUACAUAAUAUAAUUAUCUCUAAUAAGCAAUUUGUAAUAACCAUUCCGAGAUGUUAAGCUAGCUCCCCCACUAAAUCUCAAAAAUGGUGAAAAUACCAUUUUACCCCUCCAUGGUCUCUAAGGUCCACAGUUGACCAAACCCUAAAACUCAACGUAAGUCAACGCUCAAGUCAACAGUCCAUGUUGACUAAACUCGUCGAAUGCAUCCAUGCGACUCGUUGAGUACCGUCGUUUUCUCUGAAGUAUCGGGAAAAUCCAACUCAACUCGUCGAGUUGUCUCAUCAACUCGCUGAGUUGUAACGCAUUUAGACUAUCAGGGAAAACCCUAGCUGACUAGUCGAGUUGUCUCAUGCACUCGUCGAGUCCCUCUAUACAAAUUCUCAUUUAGACUAUUCUAAGCAGGAAUAAGGUCCCAAACUCUAGAUCUAGCCUCCCAAGGCUGAAAUACCAUGUAAAGCUGCAAGCUUUACGUCUAUGCAUGGAAUCUAGCGCUCAAAAUGCUAAAACAAGCUCUAUAUAGGGUUUAAUGCAUAAAAUCUUGCCACUAGCUUGAUAAAGCUUGGACCUUUGGGCUCAAGGGACCUCAUAUUGUCCAUAUCUGAAGUCUCAAAUUCAUGGCAGGCUCAAACAACUCAAGUACUCAAAGAAGGAUGGAAAAAGGCCCUAAAACUCCUUAGAAAAGAGAUCUAACCAAAUAAUGAUCAAGGUGGUAACUUUUUACCUUCAAACAGAAGCUAGAAAUGAAUAAGCACCAGAUCCAAGAGCUCCCUCUCGUCCCAAGCCUUUUGUUCCUCAAUCUUUCUCCAAAAAUGCACCAAAAUACACAAUAUUAUCCUCUCCUUCUCUCACACAUAGAUAUAGCUCGAUUAGGGUUUCUCUCAGAGUUUUAGGAUGAUAAGGGAGGAUGAAAUGAAGGCUUAAGGUCCUUUAAAUAGGACACAAACCCUGAAAAUUGGGGUUUUCUCACUCUGCUCCUACUCGUCGAGUUGGGGUCCUCCAACUCGUCGAGUAGACUCUAAAAAUCACGCAACCUUUAACUCCUCUACUCGGCGAGUUGGGGCAUCCAACUCGUCGAGUUGCUCUGACAUCAUAAAUGCAAAUUUAUUAAAUGUUAUAUAUGGGAGCAGGAUGGUACAUGUAACGACCCAAUUUUCAUGACCAAAAAUUUUGUUUUAAAAACAUUACUUUAGAAAAUAUUAAAAGCUAAAAACAUUGUCGGAUCAAAUCAUAACACAAGUGAACCAUGUCUAAAAGCCAAUUCAUACAUUCAAUCAAAAUAUCAGAGUACAAAUCCCAGUGAAGCUCGUAAAUGCGGAAACCGGAGAGUGUGUGUGUGACAUGCUGCUACCGCGCCGGCUCCUUUCCCCUAGCUGAGGAGGUACCUGAAACCAAAACUGAAGACUGUAAGCACAAAGCUUAGUGAGUCCCCCCGUCGUACCACAUACCAUACAAACACGUAACAUACAUACUGUCAGGCUAUUCUGGGGUGCCUGACUACCCGGUACGGCCGUUCUGGGGUGCCGUCCUACCCGUGUCAAGCCAUUCUGGGGUGCUGACUACCCGUGUCAAGCCAUUCUGGGGUGCUGACUACCCAUGUCAAGCCAUUCUGGGGUGCUGACUACCCAUCGGUCCUAACAACCGAUCCUCGGGGACUAGUCCCCUCUUACUACCUUUAUCUCAUAUAACAUAACAAGCCAGCAUGCAAUCAUAUCAUCACGUACUGUCAGACAUAUCUGGGGUGUCCGACCUACCCUUCGGUCCUAACAACCGAACUCUACAACUAUCACAUAUACAUAUCAUGCCAGCAUAUAACAUAUCAGGUAGUAGCAAACCUAGAUGAUAUCACAAAGACAAUCAUCUAACAUACAACUCCUACUGGUGGGCCGGCAUUGUGGCCGUAGACCCACCGCUACUGGAAGGUAACUCACCUCGAAGUAGCUGCUGAUCUGAUCGGGAACUGACUGCCUACUGCUGCUGCUGCUGCUCCGGAAAUCCUCCGGCUGCAAUUCCCACAACAUACUCAAUCAAACACUGCUCACUGACCUUUGGGUAAAAUGACCAUUUUACCCCUGAUCAUGCCCUAAGUCAAAGUCAGAGUCAACUUUCAGUUGACCCGACUCGCCGAGUUGGCUUUCCAACUCGCCGAGUCCCUACCCAAACGACUGCCCUGAAACCCGAUCCUACCCGUCGAGUUAGGCGACGACUCGACGGGUUCACCUUCUUAACCAAUAUUCAAGUCCUUCAUUCUACUCGCCGAGUUGUAUGAACAACUCGCCGAGUUCAUCUUCAUCCGAAGAACACUUAUGCUAAGACUCGCCGAGUUGUAUGAACAACUCGCCGAGUCUGUUCUUGAUCUAAGGAGAUUGCCUUGAACUCGCCGAGUCAGGGCAUUGACUCGCCGAGUACCUCCAUAGAUGAGUUAAGCUUCCGACUCACUGAGUCACACCCCGUGACUCACUGCUCACUCGACACUACGAAAAGGGGACAAACUCGGAGACUCGCGAACAGACUCGCCGAGUCAUAUGAACGACUCGCCGAGUCGUUGCCAUGCAUCCACUAAAUACACAGAUUUGCUCGAUUCCAGUCCAUGCCAUUCAUAGAUCUGGGCUUCUAGGACACGAAUCACACGUAAAGUUUCCAACUUUACGUGUGGAUAUUCACCAAUAUGGAUUUUAGGGCUCAAAAUGUCUCAAAAGGGUAGAUCUAGGGCUAACAAGCAACAUGGGGCCAUAAAGCUAACAGAUCUGAGCUCCUGGAGCUCAAUCUUGCCUAGAUCCAGAGGCCAAACAUCUUAUUACGACAUACAAUGCACAUACAAGCUUGGGGAUUUGACCAAGAAGGACCCAAAUGAAGUUUUAAGCAUAGAAUCAAGGGGAAAACGGGUUAUACCUCAAAGGAACUGCUGGAAGAACACAAAUAAUGCCUGGAUGGCUUCCCUUCUUCUGGAUCUACUUCCUUCCUCCUUCCAAACCUUCAAAAACACACACACUAACCUCAAACUCUCAAGGAAUAGCUUAGAACGAGAGAUACAGGGCUUUAAGGGUCAAUGGGGGCCGGCUUGGGGCUGAUAAGUCCUUUAAAUAGGGUGCAAACCCCUGAAACUUAGGGUUUCAUCCAACAGCUAUGACUCGCCGAGUCCAGGAUAUGGACUCGCCGAGUCGCCAACUUAAACGUGUCCCGGGUCCCGCAUCCACUCGGCGAGUCGGACCUAUGACUCGCCGAGUCCAAGGCUAAAAGAAAGGAAAUACUCAAAUAACAUUUACGUACCAGGAACCGGGUGCUACAGUACAUCAGUUGUAUCAAAACCAUCUUUUAAAUGUUAGAAUGAUUUUUAUGUUAUGAUAAUCUUUGGUUUUUGGGAAACAAGCAUGGAUUUCUUUUUAGCUUGCAUCAUGUUAAUGAUUCGACCGAAGUGGCUUGCAUCAUGCUUGCAACUAUGACUCCUGAACUUCAAAAAACUUUUGAGUUUCAUGAAGCAUUUGAAAUGAUUGAACAACUGAGUCAUGUUUCAAGUUCAGGCUAAGCAAGAUAGGUUUGAGACCUUGAAUGCUUUCAUUGGUUGCAAGAUGGACAAAGGAUCUUUUGUGAGGUCACAUGUACUAAAAAUAAAAGCUUAUGUUGACCAACUUUCCUGCCUCAGAUUCUAAUUUGGGGAUGAGCUAAAGACCAAUGUGAUCCUGGCCUCACUGCCUAAGUCAUUCAACCAAUUUUUGAUGAACUUCACAAUGAAUUAUUAGGAGAUGAGCAUUAAUGAGCUUCAUAACUUGCUCAAAAUUGUUGUGAAAAACGUCAAGAAGUCUGGGAACAAUCAAGUGCUGAUGAUUCAUGAGGGUCUAAUCUCUAAGAAGAAAACUAGUACUAAUAUCGGUUAGGGGAAAGGAAAAGCUGCCAAGAAAGGCAAGGGCAAGGGAAAGGGUAAAGGGAAGCCUCCUUCCACUAACCCAACUCCUAAACCCAAGCCUACUGCUAAUGUUGAUUGCUUUAAAUGUAAUGAAAAUGAACAUUGGAAGCGCAACUGUCCCAAAUACCUAUAGGAACUUAAGAAGAUCAAAGCCAACUAGUUUGGCACCUCAGGUAAUAUGUGAUUGAAUUACAUGCAUUCCGUACUAAUUCUUGGGUAUUCUAUACUGGAAGUGGUACUAACAUCUGGAAUGAUUUGCAGGGACUAAGGAAUGUUAGAGAACUAAGAGAUGGCGAUUUGGAACUUCAUGUUGGCAAUGGCAAUCGAGUAGCUAUCAAAGCCAUAGGACAAUAUCAUCUUUUUCUUCCAAAUGUCCUUAAUCUUAUUUUUAACAAUUGUUGUUAUGUACCUAGUAUAACUAGGAAUAUUAUAUCUACUUCUCGCUUGUAUGAACAAGGUUGUCGUUAUAAGUUUGACUUUGAUUUUGAAAACAUUUUCGUGUUUAAGGAUAAUGUGUUCUAUUUUGAGACUAGUCCCACAAAUGGAAUAUACGAAAUCGAUUUAAAUGGUUCAUACACAAAGGAUAAUUCAAUAUUCAACUUAAAUAAGAAAACAAAGUUAGACUCAAAUAAAACUUUUUUUUGGCAUUGUCGACUUGGGCACAUAAGUAAAACUAGCAUUACUAAGCUCCAAAAGGAUGUGAUAUUAGAGUCAACAGGCUCAAAGUCUUUUGAUGUAUGUGAAUCAUGUAUAUGUGGCAAGAUGACCAAAGCUUUGUUUACCGGUGUUGGUGAAAGAGCUUCGGAUCUAUUAGGACUCAUACAUACUGAUUUAUGUGGACCUUUUAGAACAAUGACCAUAAGCGGUGAAAGAUACUUCAUUACACUUAUUGAUGAUUACAGUAGAUUUGGAUAUGUGUAUCUCAUGAAACACAAAUAUGAACAUUCAAUGUCUUCAAGGUUUUCCAAACUGAAGUACAUAAUCAACUUGGUAAAAAUAUUAAACCCAUACGAUCAGAUCGUGGUGGUGAAUAUCUGAGAUAUGAGUUUGAUGAACAUCUGAAGAAUUGCGACAUAGUGUCACAACUCACUCCACCGGGAACACCUCAGCAUAAUGGUGUCUCAGAAAUAAGAAAUCAUACUCUACUUGAUAUGGUGCGAUCAAUGAUGAGUGAUACUUCCCUUCCUCAUUUAUUUUGGGGUUAUGCCCUUGAAACCGCAGUUCGAACUGUAAACAUGGUCCCAACUAAAAAGGUUAGUAAGACUCCCUACAUGUUAUGGCAUGGAAAGGAUCCAUCAGUGUCUUUCUAAAAUAUAUGGGGUUGUGAAGCAUAUGUUAAAAGAGAAACUUCUGACAAGCUUGACCCUAGAUUUCAUAAGUGUAUCUUUGUUGGAUACCCAAAAGAAACCGGGUGUUCAUAGCUCGUAAAACAAUGUUUCAUGUAACUGAAUUUAUCUUGCAUAAAGUAAGUGGGAGCCCCCUUGACCUCGAAGAAAUUCGAGAGAAACAACCUUUAGUUGAAAACGAUAAUCAACAAAGCAUUUUUGAACAUGAACUUAUUAUUCAGAUGCCGGAAACCACACCAAUUGUACGAUGUUCCAGUAGAACUCCUCAUGAACCUGACAAAUUUGGAUUUGUCAUUCCUGAAUAGGAAGUCUUCUUGAUGGAUCAAUAUGAGCCCAUCAACUAAAAGGAUGCUACUGCAGACCCAAAGUCUAACAAAUGGCUUGAAGCCAUGAGAACUAAAAUCCAAUCCAUGAAUGACAAUCAAGUAUGGGACUUGGUUGAUUUACCUCCUAACAGUAGAGCUGUUGGAAGCAAGUGGAUCUUCAAGAAGAAGAUCUACAUGGACGGAAAUGUACUCAAAUUCAAGGUGUUGACUAUGAAGAUACCUUCUCGCCAUUUGCUAAGAUUGAAUCUAUUAGAAUUAUCAUGGCAAUAGCUGCAUAUUAUGACUAUGAGAUUUGGCAAAUGGAUGUCAAAACCACGUUCCUUAACGGAUAUCUUGAGGAAGAUGUUUUUAUGGAACAAUCUGAAGGUAUUGUCAAGCCGGAUAACCUAAAGAAGGUACGUAAACUAAAGAAGUCCAUUUAUGGAUUAAAACAAGCAUCUGGGGUGUGGUAUCAUCGUUUUGAUGAAAAGUGUUGGGUUUUGAGCAUUCUAACACUCCUAUGGUGUACAUGCAACCCUAAAUACCUUGGAUCUAUGUUUUCUCUAUUAUACAUGAAAUAUCAAUUUCCAAGGUAUUUAUCCUAACUAGCAUAUUAUGAAGUACAAGUAAUAUAGAAACUAGUAGAAAUACAUACCUCUUUGUUGGUGCUUGAUUCCAUGGAGCUCAAGAGCCUAGUGCCCCAAAUGUGACACCUCAAAUGGUUCACACAACAUCAUAUGCACGUGGAAUAACUUAGACAGAAAUCAUCACUUCAUGAAAUCGACUUGCCCUCCAUAUACACACAUAGUGGCCGAUUUUUCACAAGAAUAUGAUGCUUAUAUAGUUGUUACAAUUAGGGUAAACCCUAAUUGUCAUGGCUUUCCAUUUCCUUAGAUCCAUGGGUUCAAAUACACCAUGGAGCAUCCAUGGAGUAUCCUAUGGGUUUUAGCCUAACUUAACAAUCCAUGGAGUCUUAGCCCACUAUACAGGUAUGUAUGAUAUACACAACCAACCCAUAUAUUUAAUUAGUCUUCUUUUGAUCACUUAAUUAAUUCUAGAUUAAUUCUUGAUCAAUAUUAAUUAAAUAAUCUUAUUAAUAUAUUAUAACUUAUAAUAUAUUAAUAAACCUUAAGUGUUAUUUCUCUCAUUUUAUUCUAUCCAAAUGCAUGAUGCCAUGCAACCCAAAUGGACUAUGUCGGGUCGGGUCAAGUAUAUACCAAUUAUAGUUAUGGACUUAGACACUAAUCCAACAAUCUCCCACUUGGAUAAGUCUAAUAACUAUCAUUGCAAGUACGGCUUCACAACCCGACCAGCAAUCAUAGCUCUUAAAAGUUGUUGCCGAUCUCUGAACAAAUCAAUGACGCGUCCAUUAGAUAAAUGAUCAUAUAUUCCUCCAUUCUAGACAUCAUAUGGACUGAGACAUGGAUUAUAAUCAUUCUCUCUGCCAUUUGUUAUUUCCCGAUGUCUGAUUUAAGAUGAUCAACUAAUUGAACAAAUCAAAUCAGUCCAGGCUUAGCCAAGCACUUAGGGGUGCCAUCACUAAAUCAUCUAGGGGCCCACAGAUAUCUCUUUUAUCCCAUUAAGGGUAAAAGGAAUGGAGAAACUCCAACUCAUAUGCUUGUACUGACUACUAUUUGAAUCAUACAUAAAUUCACGUUUAUAACAUCGAGUUACCAAUGCGUUUUCGUGCAAUCAAUGUAUAACCAACUCGUAGUCAACAACUGAUAUCUCUAGGUUUGAAGAAUAUAAGAUAUUAUGUGGUGUAAGUGUUCUUAUCCAUGUGAAUUUGUCAUCACCAUAAUCACAAGACAAGGUGUCACACCCCAAAACCGAGAACGGCGGAAACGUUCUGGGGCGGAGGACGUCAUGUAAUGUAUCACAAUAAAUGUAAAGUAGUAAACAAGCAACAACAUCGUCCAUUCAUUAAUAGUAAAAGUUUAAUAUAUGUGUGUUCUUUCAUAGUAAUAAGACAUUACAACAAGUAAUCAAAAUAAAAGACGAGUCUUGACUGCUCUGUCUUCGCAAAACCUGGUCAUCGUACCUGUCUACUGGUGACCUGAGAAUACAAGUUAUUUUGAAAGUGUAGGUCAGCAUUUAAGCUGGUGAGUUCAUAAGUAUUUAAUGUCAUCGUUUGUAUAAGUAUGAAGAAAACAUUUGGAAUUAUUCAAUGUAAUUGUUUGUAUAAGUUUGAAGAAAACGUUUGGAAUGAAUCAAUGUAAUUUUUCAUAUAAGUUUGAAGAAAACGUUUGGAAUUAAUCAACGUAAUUGUUUGUAUAAGUUUGAAGAAAACGUUUGGAAUGAAUCAAUGUAAUUGUUUGUAUAAGUUUGAAGAAAACGUUUGGAAUUAAUCAACGUAAUUGUUCGUAUAAGUUUGAAGAAAACGUUUGGAAUUAAUCAAUGUAAUUGUUUGUAUAAGUUUGAAGAAAACGUUUGGAAUUAAUCAAUGUAAUUGUUCGUAUAUGUUUGAAGAAAACGUUUGGAAUUAAUCAAUGUAAUUUUUCUUAUAAGUUUGAAGAAAACGUUUAAAAUUGUUCUACAUUUGUAUAAAACUGAAUAAAAUAGUUUGUACAUGUUUGAAAGUUUCUAGAAAAUCUGAUAUUUUCUACUAGUAUAACCAUACUAAGGCAUUUGAUAAUCCCGUAAACCAGUGUGUUUCUAAUACUCCAUGUGAGUUUUAUAACCAUACUAAUGACCCAGACUUCCUGUAACAACGUUCUUCAGGCGUUGAAAUGUUAUGACAUUUGUCACCCCAGGCCUGCGGGCCUAGCUGUAGCUAACAACUUAGGUGCGGGAUUGUCAAUCCCGUAUAGAUCUAUACACAAGUAUCACGCUCCCCCUACAAUGGAUUAUGGUAUGUAAUACAGGACUUAAAAUGCAUACUCGAAAGUACGUGAAAUGUCUCACAAAACUUAGUAUCAAACAGAUUUACGUAUGAAAAUGUCCAUUUGUUCUUGAAUAUGAAAGUAUUUCUUUGAUAUAGUAUUUCUAGUAUGUAAAUGUUCAUGAUUUCCUCGUAAACUAUACCUAUUAUAGUCAUUCAAAGUGUGUGUUUCGUUCGUAUAGCAAAUCCUAGUGUAAUGUUCACUUGUUAUGUAAAGUAUAACAUCUAAAAUGACAUAAAUGAUCACAUAUACUUAAAGUAUAAAUAAAGGGUUUGAUUCGCAUAUCUAACUACUUUAUAAUACAUACAUCUUGGUGGGGACCACAAAAUUUAAGACAAAGUCUUAAAAACAAGGGGAAUCAAUUUUGACCUUAGAUUUUUUUUGAACGGUGGAGAUUAUAUUAUUGUUGGUGAUCCAAGUAAACAUCUUUAAACCAAUCACAAACAAGUAUUCUAGAUUUUCAAUUCUUUAAAGUUUAUGUCUUCCAUAUUUAAAUUUACAGGGAACGGGAAAGAAAUCACCUUUCAUUUAAAAUCACAUUUCUCAUCUUCUCGAAUUGCCGUCUCUCUAGAACCUCCUCACUAUCUUCAUCUUCUCCAUUAACGACUCUGGAGAUCAAUGUCAUCAUUACCUUUACUUACAGCUAAUCCGUUCACCAUUACCUUACUUCCAUCAAACCCCCACACCAACAAUAGAGUUUCUCAUGACAUUCUCCCUCUCUCUUUCUUCAACGCCACCUCCAUUCUCAAACACGGGUAGGAUAAAAUUUUUUCAAAUCUUUAUGUGUAGAUCCAUUUGUGUGUGUGUUUUACAGAAAGAGACUAAGGCCACAGGUAGGAUAAAACAUUUAAAAUCUUUAUGUGUGUGUUUUAGGGAUCUAUAUGUAUGUAAACCUAUUUAUAUGUAUAAAUUUGUGUAUUUAUGUUUAAUAUAUUUUCGAUUUUGAUGUUCUAAGAGUUUUAUAUUUCAUAUUUUCAGAUUUGAAUCUGCAAAUUCUACACAAAAAGACAAAAAGUUGGAUCUCUUAUAAUCUGUUGUAGAUAUUUGUAGGUCUUACUUACUCAAUGCAGUGUAGAUAUGUGUUUUAGAUGUGUUUUUUGUUGUAUUUUGUAAGUAUCUAUAUUUUGUUUAAAGAUAAAUGAAUUAAUUAGUUCUAUGUUUUUUAUUAUUAUUAUUUAGAUAUGUAUAAUGGAUUUCAAUGAUUUGGAAUAAGAACUAGGAACUGUAUGUCACAGAUUAAGAUUUGUAUUGCAUAAAUUACGUUUGAUUUUUUACAUCUAGAUUUUUAAUAAUUUUAUAUUUUGAUGCAUGAGUGAAGGACAUAAAAACACAACAAAACUAAUUUCCGGUUUUUGUUUUUCUCUUUAGAUGUAAGGUUUUGAUGGUAAAACCUAAAGGUGCAAAAUUUGUUGUUCCAUGAUUUAGUGUGAUUUGUAUAUUCUAUCUAUUUGUAUUAGUAUUGAAUGAGUUAUUUGUUUAUUUUUAUUAAUAAACGAGAAAAAUAUUUCCCUUUUUUUGUGUAGAAUAGUCUUUCUAUUUUUAAAUAUUUGGAGUUAUACUUUUUAUAUAAAAAAACUUGAAUGAGAUAUUGUAACUAUUCUAUUUACAAAUAAAAAAAUAUUUUGCUAGACAAAAAAUAAAUAACAAUUGAAAUAUUUUGAAGAGGUUGUAAAUUUUGUUUAUAGAUAAAAAUAUUAUGUUUGAGUAUAUAAUAUUAAAUAAGGAAAACUGUUUUCUUAUAAGAAACGAUUAACUUAAUUAAUAAAUGACUUUUGUAAACAAAAUUAUAAGGAAAAAAAUCAAAGAUAAAAAUGGCGUUGCAAAAAAAUAGAAAGAGUUAAGAUUCUUUCAAAUAUGCUGAUUAUCAUAAAUGUUGCGAUUGGUACAAAGUGCUUUGGGUAUUCUAACAGUUUAAAAAAAAAAAAACUUUUAGGUUUGUGAAAAGAAAUGUGGCGAUAUCAUGGGUUUGUAAAAUACGUCUUUUCGUUAAAAAAAUGAUUUUUUUAUAUUUAAUACUAAUAUUCAUUUUACAUUUAUAUUUAAUUAUAAAACUUUUUGAUUAAUAUAACAAAAUAGACGUCAUUUCAUUUUAAAAAAUGAAAUCAAUUAUGUAUAAGGUAUAUCCAAAUUUAUAAAUAGUUGUUUUUUAUACAAACAACAGUUUAGGAUGAUUAACAGUCUAGGAUGAUUAGAAAAAAAUUUGUCUAUAAGUUAAUAUGCUAACAUAAAAGAUGUUAUAUAAACAAGUUAAAAUAACAAAUAUUACUGCAUAAUAUUUUAAAUUUUUUUGAAUCUCUAGAUAUAUGAUUAUGUUGUUUUAAUGGGUUUUGUUUUGCAAAAUUUACUAUGAAUUAAGAAACCACAAAAAUAUAAACACUUGAAAGAUUAAUACAAGUGAAAAACAAUAAGUGAGUUUCCUUAAAAAAAAUGAUAUGUACAAAGAAAAAAAGUGAUUAAAUGUAUAUAACUUUGUACAUAUUUUUUAUUAUCUUUCAUAUUUAAAUAAUGGGUUAAUAACUUUUUUUGGACGGGAGUUUUAGUUUUUUCAAUAUCUCUGAAUAAAAUAUAAAUGAUUUUGAACUAUUACUUUUAUCCAAAAAUCUAACACACUUAAUUUUUUGUUAAUUUUUGGUAACAAAAGAACGAAUUAAAAAAAAAAUUCUAAUUUAUUGAAUUUUAACAUGCUAAAAAAAUUGACAACUUUAAGUGUAUUUAAUUAUAUCUUAUAAUAAUCAUAUAAUACUAUUUUAUUAAACUUAUAAUUAUUAUAUAAAUAUAUAUACUAAACGAAGCCUUAAACCAGAUCCUCCCGUUUUUACUAUUUCGUUUAUUAGAAGUAUUUAAGAAUUUUAUUUGUUGCUUAUUAGCUUAUUACUUAUUUGCUUAUUGUGGUGAGAAUAAAUAUUUUUUUAAAAUGUGUUUGGAUUAGCAUAUUGCGGUGGGAAUAAACAAUAAGUAAUAAACAUUUAAGUGUUUGACAAAAUAAAACAACUUAUAUGAGUAAAAUGACCAAUAAACAAUAAAUAAUAAGCAAUAAGCAUUCCCCCUCUUGCUUAUUAAAAUCAGUUUAUUUUGUUUAUUCCUACCGCAAUAAGUUGAUUUUUAAAGAUUACUAUCCAAACACUUAAAUUUGCUUAUUGCGGUUGGGUUUAGCAAUAAGCAAUAAUCAACUUAUUUUUUCCCUAUCAAAACACCCACGUAAUAUUAAUUCCAAAGCCAACUACACGAUUUAUAUUUGGAUUUGGAUUACAAGCACAAAGGUAACACAUCAUCAAAUAUGAAAUUUAUUAAUUUAUCAUUGUGGUCCCAUUUUUUCAACUAUUUGUAUUACCCUCAUUUUAAGUAUAUUUUAAAAACUAAAAAACACAUCUUUAUUUAAAACCAAAACAAGAAUGCAUGUAAAAUAAUUGCACACAAAGAAUAUAUUCUAGAAAUAAAUUUCUGAAUCAAAACAAAUUGCGGAAAAAACUUUUUUCGCUAUAAUUUGUAAUCCAUUNUUUUUUUUUAAUUUUUUAAAAAUUUUUUUUUUUUUUUUUUUUUUUUUUUUUUUUUUUUUUUUUUUUUUUUUUCUAAAAAUAAUAAGACUUUUCUGUUAAAAAAAAUUAAGACUUUGAUUUCUGAUAAAAAAAAAAGACGAGUCAAGAAAAAGACCUGUACGAAAAACGAACGGUCGAGACAACCCGUAAUACAUCGAAAGCAAAUUAUUCGUUGUUCGGGAAAAAUUUACUAAUCUCCGGAAUGAAAUUAAUCGUCGUCCGCUGCAUCGCGCGGGUAGCCUACUAGNNNNNNNNNNNNNNNNNNNNNNNNNNNNNNNNNNNNNNNNNNNNNNNNNNNNNNNNNNNNNNNNNNNNNNNNNNNNNNNNNNNNNNNNNNNNNNNNNNNNNNNNNNNNNNNNNNNNNNNNNNNNNNNNNNNNNNNNNNNNNNNNNNNNNNNNNNNNNNNNNNNNNNNNNNNNNNNNNNNNNNNNNNNNNNNNNNNNNNNNNNNNNNNNNNNNNNNNNNNNNNNNNNNNNNNNNNNNNNNNNNNNNNNNNNNNNNNNNNNNNNNNNNNNNNNNNNNNNNNNNNNNNNNNNNNNNNNNNNNNNNNNNNNNNNNNNNNNNNNNNNNNNNNNNNNNNNNNNNNNNNNNNNNNNNNNNNNNNNNNNNNNNNNNNNNNNNNNNNNNNNNNNNNNNNNNNNNNNNNNNNNNNNNNNNNNNNNNNNNNNNNNNNNNNNNNNNNNNNNNNNNNNNNNNNNNNNNNNNNNNNNNNNNNNNNNNNNNNNNNNNNNNNNNNNNNNNNNNNNNNNNNNNNNNNNNNNNNNNNNNNNNNNNNNNNNNNNNNNNNNNNNNNNNNNNNNNNNNNNNNNNNNNNNNNNNNNNNNNNNNNNNNNNNNNNNNCCGGGGCUUUGGGAGGGUCUCGGGGGCUUAAACGCAGAGUUUCGGCGCGAGAAAGAAGGGAACUGAGCAAUGGAACUCGGAGCCCUUGAAAUAUAUUUAUAGGGGCAUUUUUGAGGUGUGCCACGUCAUGGCAAGGGAUGGACACGUCGUGGGGAGUCAAACUUAUCCUCUUCCAUUGAUUGGACGCCCUCAGUCACUUGUCGGGUCGCGGCAAGCUUGUGCCACGUCGUAGCAAGCCUGACAGCCUCGGAUUUCGAACGUCGAAUUUGUAAAACCCAUAACUUUUGCGUACGAGCUUCGUUUUGACGUUCUUUAUAUGCAUGCGUAGCUGAAAAUAUGCUCUACAACUCUCGUUUAGACUUCAUUGGCUAAUUUUGACUUUAUUUUUAAUUAUUUAUUUUUAACAGGCCGGGACACGAAAAUUACGUUAAAAUUCCAUAACUUCUUCAUCCGAUGUCCGUUUUCGUCAGACUUUUCGCCGUUGCGCUACUAUUUUUGAGACCUUCGAUUCUCAUUUAGGUUGUUUCGGUCAAAAGUCUCUCGAGCUCUAUUUCGAGUUUUUAGCUGUCUACUGUUAUAUCCGGAUCUUGGAAAAAUCAUAACUUCCUCAUACGAAGUCAGAUUUGGACGUUCUUUUUAUGUACGCUCACGGUUUAAUGUUAUCUACAACUUUCAUUUAGAUACUUAAGGCUAAAAACUAUUGUAUUGAAAUUUCGUGUUUUUCGUUUAAUCGGUGUUGCCGGUUUUGCCGCGAACUUUCGGUUGGUCAUAACUUCUUCGUUAUAACUCGGAUUUUAGGGUUCUUUAUAUAUACAAAAACCUUGAUGCGAUUUGUACUACUUUAUUUAACCCAAAUAUGAUUUUAGGAAAGUUAUAUUUUGACCUAAAUUUGACUGGUUUUACAUUACAUUGUCUCUAAAUAUCGGGUUGUCACAUCAUCCCCCCGUUAGAGACUAUUUCGUCCCGAAAUUAGAGUUUUAAGCAGAAUUGAUAAAUAUGCUACGGAUAAAAGUUUUAUUUGCUCCUCGUGUUCUUAAGUGAACCCAGGUCCUCGCUUGGCAUUCCAGCGAACCUUUCACUAUCGGGAUACAACUUUGCUUGUUUCGUUUGACUUCCCUGGUAUGAUAACUCCUCUUUGUCGAACGUGUGUUGAGUGUUUUUGUCGUCUGUGAGAGUAUUACACCUUGUACCUUACAAGUAGUGUCUCCAGAUCUUCAGAGCAAUUACCAUUUCUCCUGACUCAAGAUCAUGUGUUGUAUAGUUAACUUCUUGCGUCUUAAGCUAUCUUGAGGUAUAUGCAGUGACCUUUCCUCUUGCAUAAGAACACAACCAAGCCGUUGGUUGGAUGCAUUGCAUUACACCAUGAAAUAUUCUAUCCCUUUUGGGAGGGAUAAUAUUGAUGUGAUGCGUCAGGCUUACUUUAGCGUUUGGAACGCUCUUUCUUGUUUAUAGACAAGUCUGGUGCUCCUCCAAGUGAGAAACUUGGCCGAAGGAAUCCUCUUUUGAGGAGUUCGUUAAGCUGUCUGGGAAGUUCUAGUAUCUUAGUUAGAGUUAGACGAUAAGGUGACUUGGCUACUGGGGUAGCCCUUGUAACUAAGUCAAUUCUGAACUCGAAUUGACGUUGUGGUGGUAAUCCCGGUAGUUCUUCUGGAAAGGUGUUGGGAAAGUCGCGUACUUUUGGGAUGUUCUGAAUGUCCUUCGCUUCUUGGCUCGUAUCGACGAUGUGUGAUAUUCCCUUCGUAAGCGCUUUUGAGAUUAAAUACAUGAAAUGAUGCGAAGGUUCGUACCUGAUUUGUCUCCGUAAAUAACAAGAGGUUCUGUGAUAGGGAGGUUAAGAUGAACUGCUUUAUCAAAGCACCUGAUUUCGGCUCGACGUAGACUUAACCAACUCCUACUGAUUAUGAUGUCAAAACCUUGGGGUGGAUUAGAUGUCGUGAAGAUCUAAAAGAAAGUAUGACUACUCAUGAAUUAGGGAAAAGGAUAGGUAUUUCUAAGUUUAUUCUCACGGAAGCACGAUCACUCUCAGUCUUGGGCAGUCUCCGUCUAGAAGUUCAUAGUAGAACUCAUACCUGGUUCAUUAAUCACAAUCUUGGGUAUACGAGUCGUAUAUAAUUAAGAUUGAAACUGUGGGUCUUUGGAUUGAACUUGACGUACUGCACGAGUGGUACUUCGGGGAGGUUUGCUGAGGUUUCUUUGGAAAGGGUAAGAAACAUGACAUACUCUACGCAUGAGUACUUAGGAGUUCUGAAGUGAUAGUUUCAUUAGAAAGAUGAUUUUGGAGAAAGAGAUUUACGCACGAAACUGGUAUUGUGAGGAUCAAAUAGACUCUGAUCGUAUGAUGAAAUCGGAAUCACUUGGAAAUAAAGACACUAGAUUCGAUCAUAAAGGCGUUACAGACAAAACACAACAGUGCAACUUUUUUAAUAGAGUUACAGUACUUUAGAGUAACUACAGGAAUACUGCUGCGAACGAAGUACACUAUAAAAGGCAAGUAUACGCAGCACGAGGGUCCCUUAACUGACGGGAUCUCGCAAGAGAUAAUACUCGAGUUGCACUAGUUCUAAACAUGUUUUAAAAACAUACAUAAUACUGACGAUUGGAAGUGAACCUAUACUAUAGUAGGGUCCUUCAUUGCCUCUUUCCAUUAUGAGGUCAAACUCCUCCGGAUUCGCCGUCGUUCUCCUCUAUUGGACAGUCCCUCUUAAAGUGUCCCAUUACGCCACAUAGAUGGCAUAUUCGAGAGAUUUCGACAUUGGUGGUUGAAGUAAUGUGUUGGAUCCGAGUCUUGCAAUAAUGGACGGUGUGUCCCUUUUUAUUGCAAUUUAAGCACUGCAUUUUCCAACAAAGUCCAUGAUCGUGGUAGUUGCAUUUGUUGCACUUUGGGAGAUUGCCAGCAUACUGUCUGGCCGGGUUGGGGAUAACUGGGAUACUAGAAGAAAUGGUAGUAGGAGGUAUAGAAGUCGUGGCUGUGAAGGUUGCCACAGGUUGUUGUCUUUUGCUUGCCCCUUGGGGUGAUUUGCCUUUAGCCUUAGCCCAAAACUUUCGUUUGUUAUUCUUGCGCUUGAGAUUCGGGGUGUCGUGGUAGUUUGUUGUUCAUCGAGGUACUUGAUCGUUACUUGGAUUGGAAUUAUUGUUAACAAUCCCGCUAACAUUCGCGUUGUUAGCAUUAAGGUGGACCAGAAUAGCUGACACGACAGCCGAGACUGCAGCUUGAAAGGUAGCCGCAUUAAUCUAAAGAGUUGGUGUUUGGUUGAUGGGUUGAUCAUUUUUCUUCGGCGACAUGAUUCUGUUACACGGAAAGAAAAAUGAAUUUGUGAGCGAGUAUGGUUGAACCUAGACGUAGUUCGAUUGUUCAUGUAAAGAAUAGAAGUAUGUUCUCUAAGGUUUGACCUAUAUCCCUAUGAUGUCGUCCUAGUAUGGAGUAGAAGUAAGCUCGUAGAGUGGUCUCAAGACGUUUAUCGUCCAAUCCAGGGUAUUAUUGGUUGGUAAAUAACAUGAUCCAACCUUUGAAAGAGACUUGGAAAUGAUUCCAGAGUUAAACUACCAUAGUCCAAUAACUUGACUAGAUGGGGUUUCAGAUAGACUCCAAUGAAAUCAUGAUGAAAGCAUUUGAACAAAGAUUGACACGGAAGUUAGACGACUGUCGAUAUCAUUGAUGUUUAAGAUUUAAUAGGUUUGGGGAAAUUGACCUUGUUGUAAGUCUUACAUCAUAUUCAGGGAAGAAAAGUCUUCGACAACAUAAGGACUUAAAUAAAAGUACUUACAGUACAAGGUAAUUACAUAGAAAGUACUACACAGAUCAUAGGCAAGAACAUGGUUCUAUAAAACAAAGAAGGAAGUAAGGUAUCUCCCACUGGUGAUGGUCACGCCUAUGGUGAACCCUUAGUUCGGCUAGUUGACGUUCCAUAUCCAGCAGGUAUCUUUCGUACACCCUCUGGCGUACUUGGAGUUCUAUGACAUCGGCUCGUGAUUCAGCCAGUGCUUGAAGUAGUGCUUCAUGGUCUCUCUCAGAGCUCUCACGAGCAUCUUCCAGACGAAUGGUGCGGAGGGUAUGCAUUCUCGCAUUGGUAUUAACCUCUUCGAUACAUUAGAGAGCCGUCCUGCCCUGAAUUUCGUUUCGGGCAACUCUACGGAUUAGGAUUGGUAGAACUUUGUCUGCUGAGCUCCCUUCGUUUACGUUGUAGAAGCUUCGGUCUCCAUUAAACGGCAUAGGUUGAUAUUGCUCUUCGCUCCAUGUUUCCAUGCAUUCUACCCAAGGAGGCGUCGGGCCAUAAAAAGCGGGACGAGGUUUAGGAUUUAGAAAUGGAGCUACCGGGGGUAGGUUCUCAACCUCGGUUUCGGAGUUGUCAACAUCUGAAAGGUUUUCAACAUGGUGAUCAUUCAAAGGGAUUGGAUGAUCAUUCUCUGGUCCUUCUCCAACCCAUCCAACAAUGACUUCGUUCGGAAAGUACGGGUUGCCAUGGGGAUGGAGUCCAGCCAUGUUAUCUACGCGAGAAUUGGGGUAAGGAAAUAAUUAUUAGACGAACUAUCUAGAUAAUUAUUAGAAAAUCUUCAUUAGUUACAUCGCUAUUUGUAAAGUGCAUACCAGUCAUAUGUAAUCAACACAGGAUAGGCUUUCGAAUAAGUGACCUUAACUCCAAAUUCACAAGGAAUAGGGGUAAAGCAAAAAUUUCACCGAUUCUAAGUCUAUAACAUCCUAGUUACAUAUAGCCUUAGUGUAUCCACUUAACAACUAUCAACUUAGUAAUGAAGAUCCUUUUUAGUUCUCAAGUAAGUAAUUAUGGUAACCCAAAACACCCCUAUGGUAUUUUAGACUUAGGUUCUGUUAUAAUGUUCUCAUUGUGGUAAUGUUGGUAAGUUUUUAGACUUGUUGCCAUAUNAGUUUUGACCAUAUGUCUCUAAGCCCACUUGUGUUGCCCAACAAUCGUAAUUCUUUUGUACUGUCCUACUGACAUUGAUUUUAGUAUGAAUGCAGGCACGUAUACUCACUUAAAUAUUUUAUUAUUUUAAAGUAUAAACUCUAAAUCAGAGUAUUUUUAAUCCCAUUGUAUUUAUAGUUAGUAUAUCUUUUAUGGGUUGAUAUACUCAAUUCACUAUAAACAAUGCUCUGAUACCAAUCUGUCACACCCCAAAACCGAGAACGGCGGAAACGUUCUGGGGCAGAGGAUGUCAUGUAAUGUAUCACAAUAAAUGUAAAGUAGUAAACAACCAACAACAUCGUCCAUUGCAUUAAUAGUAAAAGUUUAAUACAUGUGUGUUCUUUCAUAGUAAUAAGACAUUACAACAAGUAAUCAAAAUAAAAGACAAGUCUUGACUGCUCUGUCUUCGCAAAACCUGGUCAUCGUACCUGUCUACUGGUGACCUGAGAAUACAAGUUAUUUUGAAAGUGUAGGUCAACAUUUAAGCUGAUGAGUUCAUAAGUAUUUAAUGUCAUCGUUUGUAUAAGUAUGAAGAAAACAUUUGGAAUUAUUUAAUGUAAUUGUUUGUAUAAGUUUGAAGAGAAUGUUUGGAAUUAAUCAGUGUAAUUUUUCAUAUAAGUUUGAAGAAAACGUUUGGAAUUAAUCAACGUAAUUGUUCGUAUAAGUUUGAAGAAAACGUUUGGAAUUAAUCAAUGUAAUUGUUUGUAUAAGUUUGAAGAAAACGUUUGGAAUUAAUCAAUGUAAUUUUUCGUAUAAGUUUGAAGAAAACGUUUGAAAUUGUUCUACAUUUGUAUAAAACUGAAUAAAAUGGUUUGUACAUGUUUGAAAGUUUCUAGAAAAUUCGAUAUUUUCUACUAGUAUAAAAGUAUUCUUCUACCAAGACUCGACUAUUUUGUAUGCUUACCUUUAGAAGUCCAAUAUCUGUUCAUAAGUGUGUGUGUGUGGUUUAAAAACUCCAAAACUAUAACAAAAUGAUGUUUUUCAUGCCUAAAUAAUAGUUAUGUGUAAAUAUAAAAUCACUAAGGCAUUUGAUAACCCCAUAAACCAAUGUGUUUCUAAUACUCCAUGUGAGUUUUAUAACCAUACUAAUGACCCAGACUGCCUGUAACAACGUUCUUCAGGCGUUGAAAUGUUAUGACAUUUGUCACCCCAGGCUUGCCGGCCUAGCUGUAGCUAACAGCUCAGGUGCGGGAUUGUCAAUCCCGUAUAGAUCUAUACACAAGUAUCACGCUCCCCCUACAAGGGAUUAUGGUAUGUAAUACAGGACUUAAAAUGCAUACUCGAAAGUACGUGAAAUGUCUCACAAAACUUAGUAUAAAACAUAUUUACGUAUGAAAAUGUCCAUUUGUUCUUGAAUAUGAAAGUAUCUCUUUGAUAUAGUAUUUCUAGUAUGUAAAUGUUCAUGAUUUCCUCGUAAACUAUACCUAUUAUAGUUAUUCAAAGUGUGUGUUUCGUUCGUAUAGUAAAUCCUAGUGUAAUGUUCACUUGUUAUGUAAAGUAUAACAUCUAAAGUGACAUAAAUGAUCACAUAUACUUAAAGUAUAAAUAAAAGGGUUUGAUUCGCAUAUAUAUAUAAACAUGUUUUAUUUCCAAAAGACAAGAUGUUAUCGUGAAUAUAUAUAUCAUACGAAAGUUCCUAUGAAGUAGUUAUGAAUCACAUAUGAUUCACUCGAUAAAAAGAGUAUAUGGUGAAACUUUAUGUUACACACGAUAACAACCGUGUGUUUACUUGUAUUCCCCCCCUUUAAAAGUGUAUACAACGAUUUAAAAGUAGUUUGUUUGAUAAGACAGUGUAAAGUAAAAGAAAUCCCUUGUUUGAAAACACAGUUAUAAAUCACAUAUGAUUGAUUAUAUAACAAAGAGUAUAACAACAGAUUUAUGUUUUUCACACGGUGAUAAUCGUGUGUUUACUUGUAUUCCCCCCCCUUUAAAGUGUAUAAAAUGCAUUUAUAAAACAUUUGAAAGUGUUGUUUGUAGGGGUAGGAACUCACUUGAUUGAAGUGGUUGAUUUGAAGUAGUCGAGAAAAGAAUCAAGCAGAACUUCGACAGGAAGAGUUGAAAACGCGGGAAAUCUCGGGAUUCUUGGGAAACUUGGGAAUCUCGGGAACACAAAACCUUCCUUCGGGACUUGAAGGUGAAAACCUGGGCUUUGGGAGGUCUCGGGGGCUUAAACGCAGAGUUUCGGCACGAGAAAGAAGGGAACUGAGCAAUAGAACUCGGAGCCCUUGAAAUCUAUUUAUAGGGGCAUUUUUGAGGUGUGCCACAUCGUGGCAAGGGAUGGCCACGUCGUGGGGAGUCAAAAUUAUCCUCUUCCAUUGAUUAGACGCCCUCAGUCACUUGUCGGGUCGCGGCAAGCUUGUGCCACGUCGUGGCAAUUCUGACAGCCUCGGAUUUCGGACCUCGAACUUGUAAAACCCAUAACUUUCGCGUACGAGCUCCAUUUUGACGUUCUUUAUAUGCACGCGCAGCUGAAAAUAUGCUCUACAACUCUCGUUUAGAUUUCAUUGGCUAAUUUUGACUUUAUUUUUAAUUAUUUAUUUUUAACGGGCCGGGACACGAAAAUUACGUUAAAAUUCCAUAACUUCUUCAUCCGAUGUCCGUUUUCGUCAGACUUUUCGCCGCUGCGCUACUAUUUUUGAGACCUUCGAUUCUCAUUUAGGUUGUUUCGGUCAAAAGUCUUUCGAGCUCUAUUUCGAGUUUUUAGCUGUCUACUGCUAUAUCCGGAUCUUGGAAAAAUCAUAACUUCCUCAUACGAAGUCAGAUUUGGACGUUCUUUUUAUGUACGCUCACAGUUUAAUGUUAUCUAAAACUUUCAUUUAGAUACUUAAGGCUAAAAACUAUUGUAUUGAAACUUCGUGUUUUUCGUUUAAUCGGUGUUGCCGGUUUUGCCGCGAACUUUCGGUUGGUGAUAACUUCUUCGUUAUAACUCGGAUUUUAGGGUUCUUUAUAUAUACAAAAACCUUGAUACGAUUUGUACUACUUUAUUUAACCCAAAUAUGAUUUUAGGAAAGUUAUAUUUUGACCUAAAUUUGACUGGUUUUACAUUACAUUGUCUCUAAAUAUCGGGUUGUCACACAAGGUUAGUGGCAAAUCUAAACACAUAUGGACUGAAGGUUGUAGGCUAGUGAUUAAAAAUACUCUUGAUUAGUUCUUGAAAUUAUUUCAGGAUCAUUUAGACUCCCACUGUCCUCUUGACAUAUAAGACUCUCUUGUCAAGAACCAUUCCUUGACAAAACAAAUAUUCAAGAGUUAGUGUGGAUUCUUAUCAAGACAAACACUUCACACAAUUGGCCUUAGUUGGUCUUUAUUUUAUCCAAAACAUCACAACUUACCAAUUUCAAAUGUACCAGAGUAAGAAAACAUUUUACUCUACAUUUGACAAGUAUUUUAAACCUUUCUUAAGAUUAUGUCACUCAAGGCUCUAUCUUGGAGUAUGACUCUAAGAUUUGAUUUGGAACGGACUAUGAUUUAUCUUUUGAUUUAACCAUUUCAACAAUUCAUGAUUCCUCUCCUUAGUCAAACAAAUGCACUAAGGUGUCCUUAGAGAAUCAAUUGUGAUAUAGUUUCAUAAUCACUAAGAUAGUCAUAAAAAAGGAUACUCAAGUACUCUCCCAUCUCUUCAGAUUGGAGAAACUUUUAUCUUUCUACCUUAUUUGAUUCUUCUUAUCCGUUCUGCCAUACAUUGAAACUUUUCUAAUGUUUCAGAAUUGAACUUAAACUUGUAAGCAUAACCAUAUUUACUAAACUUUUGUAAAUCAUAACGAAUAAUCUUAUCAACCUUUGUGGUGGACCUGACCAGCACACAACCAAGUGUACCUAAUCCUUUAGUCCUUCACUUGACUCACACAUAAAUGUGAACAAGGUCUUAGUCUUAAUUUCCCAAAGAUGAAAUCAUUCAUCACACAAUACAACUUGCAUGAUUCCAAGUUUCUAUACGAUUGAAACUUGGGUGAUGAGAAUCUUUCCUUAUUUGGUAAAUUACGAUACUACCACAAAUGAAAGAAUCAAAUCCAUUUACCAAUAUUGCUUAUCAAUGGAAACAUAUAAAUAACAUUAUUUUUUCAUAAAUGCCAUUGUAAGGAUACUUAAAAUAAAUAAAACAAUUUUUUUAUCUUAAAAACUUGCGGAAAAAAAUAUACUUACAAUGCAAAUACAUAUGAAAAACAUUUUGUUGUCUAUUCCUAAGCUAUAUAUAUCAUAACUCUUAUGCAGUAGCACAAAAUUCUGAUCAUCGGACCAUGCGAUCGAAAUCCACCGAAGCCAAUAGAUGGAUCAAGAAGGAUCCAGAAGAAGAUUUCGAAGAGUACCAAUAGAUGAAAUACGAGGAAGAAGAUUUCCGAGAAGGGACCAGAUAGAGAAAGAAGUUCGGGAGAUACCAUCAAUAAACCUUACCCUAUCAAGAGGAGUGUGAGAACCUCCACCUCUCAUUUCAGGAAGCAACCCGCAAUUAACUACCUAGCCACACAUAUAGACUGGAGAGGACAACCGAUGAUCCAUAACCGACAUAAACUCACUACACCGUACUUCGGGCCAUAGCACCCAUAGACCGGCAAGCAGAUCAAGAGAACAAUACGGAUCACCUACACUCCUUAGAAAAGGAGAUAGUCGUUAUAGGACAAAGAACCCUUACAGCUACAACCUGGACAGUCAUCACAGAACUGAGAACAGAGGAGGCCACUCGCGAAAUAGAAUCAUGCCGACACAUGAAGGUAAUCAGCAUACUGGUGCAACACUAGUUCUAUAAAUAGACCCUACAACAUUUCAAAUUGCGGUAACAGCCGCCGUGACAGCAGUCAUAGCACACCUCGGCGCUAACAACACAAACAAAAGCAGGAACAACGCCGAAAGUUCCAAUCGUAAUAACAACCAGGGAAACCUCGAGUAUGUUCCUGCAACGACGCCCCAAAUCAAGGACCUACUAAAAGACAACAAAUAGUGAAAUUCCAUACCACCACCAUCCCUACUACCUCAGUGCCGACAAGACCAUAUGUUGGAAACCUGCCAAAAUGCACCAAGUGUAGCUUUCAUCACAAAGGAAAGUGCAGGGAAAUGCACUGCAAGAACUGUAAUGAAAAGGGGCAUACCACAAAUUUAUGUAGGGUGCCGGCUCAACAAACCGCCCAGAACACAAAAUCUGGGAUGAGUCGGACUUGCUACAAAUGUGGAGAAGUAGGACAUUUCAUAAAGGAGUUCCCGAAGACUAAAAACAAAGAUAUCAGGAGCGUCGGAAGUGUUUUAGCAACAGAGCGUGGGAAAGAAGUAAUAGACCCCGCUGAGAUUCCGGUACGUUCAUUCCCGAUAGCACAUAUGCAUGGAUACUAUAUAAUAGCAACGCGGAGAGGAGUAUUGUGAGUCGUAGAUUUAAUCAAUUUCUCAACCAAAAACCUCAAAAACUUAAUCGAAAUUUUUACAGUAGAAUUGGAAUAAUCAAAAGCACUAGAGACGUGUACAUAGGGUGCACUCUAACACUAAAUCAAGCAAUUCAUUCAAACCAUCCUAAAACUGGUCACAAUAAAAAUUUAUGACAUUUUCAUUUUAACAACGUAUUAGUUAGUUUCCUCAACAUACCGAUAUCAUAUAUUACGAAAAGUCCAUUCGCCUAAACCCAUCGAGUAAUAGAACCCUCGUUGUCUAUGGCGACAAACCGGACACAAACCCCCGACUCACCUUUUACAACAAGACUCAGAAGUACCUACACAGGAGGUACCACGCCGUCCUAGCCCGUGCUGUGGAUAAGAAACAAGAAGAGAAAGACAUCAUGGAUGUUGAAAAAGCCCGUAACCUUCUCGAUAUAUUCCGAGAAGAUCUCCUGGGAAUACCAUCCGUACGACAACCCGAGUUCAAAAAUCAACCUAAGUGCAGUAGUUGUGGAAAAGGGUUGUUGUAAAUGCCAUCUCACCCAAGUUAAUCACCCCACUCAAGUAGAGACUAUGGACCCAUACUAGUGAAUCUAUGAUUACUAAGUGUAUAUAUUGGAGCCCUAUAUAAUUAAGAUUCUACGGACUUAGGGUUGGUAAUUCCGCUUUAAAUCCUUUUCCUUGUUUGGAUGUGGGCUUAGAAUAGAAUCACCGAUUCGACUGUCUUUUCAAUCUUAAUUAUAUACGACUUAUAAACACAAAGAGAUGAUAGAUGAAUCAGUUAUGAGUCAUACCAUGAACUCCAUGACAAGUUACCCAGGACAGUGGAUGGACAUGCUACCACUUGAGCGAUCGUAGACAAAUCAACCAAACCCACACACUUUCUACCGACCAAGGAUACAAAGAAAAAUAGAAAAGCUAACAGGAGCAUAUACAAAGAAAAUUGCGAGACUGCAUAGUAUACCACUAUCUAUCAUUUUGGAUAAGGGACAGGCGAUUCGCCUCGUGUUUUUAAUAGUCGUUAAAGAAGUCCUUUUUAUCACCCUCAAACUGAAAGACAAAGAGGAAGAACCAUUCAUCGAAUCCUUAUACAACAUCAACUAUUACAUUAACAUCAAGGUCACGUCAUUCGAAGCUCUCUGCAGAAGCAAGUGUAGAUCACCUCUUUGAUGGGAUGAGGUAGGUGACACACAAAUAGCUAAUAGGCAAGUUCCUAACAACACUUUCACCAGCCCCCAGAUCAUACGAGAAACUACAGAGAAGAUUGUUCAAACCCGUGAAUGAUUGAAGGCAUCCCAGGAUCGGAAGAAGA